rnacentral:lncRNA from 1 species
AUCCAUGUUCGCCAUGGCUGCAACUACAGUUGCAUGUGAAAAAACAGGGCAUAGAAACCCAUUUCACAGACAAUCCGGGUCGCCCAGCCAAGAGAUGGAUCCUUUCAAAUGUCUGAUUUACUUGGAAAGUGUCAUCACAGCCACUUAAUUUUCCUGCACAUUUUCUCAGCAACCAAACAGAUACAAGAUCCUUCUCAGAAAACACAUUUUAAAACACAAACAAAAAAACCAAAACAAAACAAAGAUCAGCCUCAGCGCGGAAGUGAAUAGCGCGUAAAAGGAAGGCUCAGAUUCGCCUUUUAUCAGACAAGAAAAAGAUGACCGUCAUGGCUGCAACCACAGUUGCUUGUGAAACAAGGCACAAAAGGUCCCAUCGCACAAACCAUCCGGGUUGCCCCGCCAAGAAACGGACAUUCCCAGUUCCUGACUUACUCUGAAAACGUCAUCACAGCCUUUUAUGUUGCCCAUAUGAACAGAGAGAUACCCCUAAAACAGAUCCAGAAAACACAGGGAGCCAAAAAAAAAAAGCAAUUUUUUUGGUUUUCCUUGGGGGUUUUGCGUGGAUUUUCUCGGAAAUCAAACGAGGAUGAAUUUUCCCGGAAAUCGAAUGGGGGAUGGAUUUUCUUGGGAAUCAAACGGGGGUUGCAAAAAAAUAAUAAUAAUAAUAACAUGAUUAGAUUAGUACCUGCGAGGAUUGAGAGUGGGAGAGGAAAAUAGGGCCUUUUUAGGGAUUCUCUCGUCUGGAGGGCAACUUCAGAAAAGGGCUUCUAGUUCUUGAUGCCCGAGUGGGAGAAGCGGAUGAUGGCCCUUUCGAUUUUUAUAUUUAGUGGAGAGAGAAAACAAGGGAAACAAAUCAUGAAAACAAUUUUCCUCUCUAUAUAAAUAAUUAUUAAUCAUCCAUCUUUAUUUUGAUUAAAUUACUACCAAAAUUUCGAUUUUUAUCAGUAAUAUUUUAUAAAUUAAAAUUCAUUUGAUAAAAUAAAUUAUUAAUAAAUUUAUUUAUUUAAAUAAAUUAAUAUUAAUAAAAAAAAGUUAUUACCAUGUAUUUUUAAUAAAAUCUUAAAAAUUAAAUAUCAAAUAAAAUAUUUUAUAUAAAUUAAUUUAAUUUUUCAUUUAAAAUAUAAUAAAACAUGUUUCAAUAAAAAUAUUUAAAAUUUUUUUAAAUAAAUAUUAUCUUCAAUAAGAUAAGUUUCUUUCAUUUAACAAUAUGAUGGACCCACAUCGAUCUUCAUUUUGAUACUAAAAACUAUUGCAAUCUCAUAUAUAUUAUACUUAUGUAUAAAUUGUUUUUAUUCAAUAAAAUCAAAUAUUUUUUAACUCAAUUCUAACUUUAUACACUUUCAAAAUUCAUAUUUAUUAUUCUUAAAAUUUAAAUAUCCAAUUUAUCAAUAUGUCUCUAUCUACCGAUGUUUUUCUUCUUGAUCAUAUUUAAGUCAAUUACACUUAUAAAACAACUUAAAAAUGUGUAUUCUUGUUUAUUUUAUCAUUUUUUGAAGUUUUUCCAAAUAUCCCUAUGACUUCUACAUAAUUUUCGUUCCACCGGCAUUUUCAUACUUACCCUGUAUCUAUAAAAAAUAAAUGAAAACAAUUUUAGGUUAGGAGUUAUAAGGACAACUAGUAUUCAUGCAGAAAAUCAGCAUCAGAAUUCGUAACUGCAUUUGAUCAGCUAGUUUAGGAAAUCUGUACAGCUCAUUCUUUCCUUUAUUUUCACAUAUGUUGUUAUACGUUAGCACAAGUUUAGGAGUAAUUUUAGUUUCUCAAAUCUGUAUUUAUACCUCUUCUUCUAAUAAGAAUUGUGUGAAUCAUUUUGUCUAAACCUCUAUAUGGUAUCAGAGCCCACCUCAAAACUCCAACGAGUAUUUCCUGUCUUUCUCACUUCUGCUAUGGCCACUUCUUCCUUUGAUAGUUUUCCAAUAGCCAUCAAUGCCACCCAGCAAAUUAUUGCACGUCUCACACCAACCAACUUCCCUUCAUGGCAUGCCCAAUUUGAGUCUCUCCUCCUCGGCUAUAACCUCUUUGGCUAUGUCGAUGGCACUCAUACCUGCCCACCCCUACCGACGUCAACUGAUGCAGCUGCCACUACCGCUCAUCACCUUUGGUUCCGUCAGGACAAACUUAUUCUAAGUGCAAUUCUGACUUCAGUGUCCCCAGCUGUGAUACCACUCAUAGCAACCUCCCAGACGUCAUAUCAAGCCUGGACUAAAUUGACAAAACUGUAUGCUAGUCGAUCCAGGACUCGUGUCAUGCAGCUCAAAGAGGAUCUCACCCUCAUGCAACGUGGCAAUCGCAACAUUACAGAGUACCUACACUCUGUAAAAACCAUUGCCGAUGAGCUUGCUCUCAUCGAUGCCCCAUUAUCUCAAGAUGACAUCACCCUAUAUGUUCUUCAUGGCUUAGGAUCAGAUUUUCGUGACAUUGUUGCCCCGAUUCGAGCCUGAGAGUCUUCACUCUCAUUUGAAGAAUUACAUGAUCUGCUACUUGGUCAUGAGGCAUAUCUUCGAAGGCUUGACUCCACUGCUCAAUCCUUGGUAGUUACUGCCAAUACCACUCAACGCAGGGACUCACGCUCCUCAAAGAAUCAGUCUUUAUCAACUUAUCAACAAUCCAAGAAUGACUCCAGAUCAAAGUCUCGACAGUCGAAACAAUACAAAUACCCUCCAAGGUGUCAAUAUUGUGAUCAACAAGGCCACAUUGCAAAAUACUGUCCGAAAUUGAAACCCUCUGAAGCCACUGUGAACUGCACAACUACUACUUCUAGUCUAGACAAACGUUGGCUCAUUGAUUCUGCGGCUUCCCAUAAUAUCACUUCUCAGGUUUCAAAUUUACAAUUUCACUCUGAAUAUGAUGGUACUGAUGAAGUUAUUAUUGGAGAUGGAUCAGGUUUGCCCAUUACUCAUUCCGGUUCUCUUACUCUUUCAUUUCCAAACAGAAAAUUUCAAGUUGAAGAUACUCUAUGUGUUCCUACCAUUAACAAAAACUUGAUAUUUGUUCACCACUUCACAAAGCAAAACAAUGUUAUCCUGGAAUUUCACCCAACUUAUUUUCUUGUGAAGGAUCGGAGAACGGGGGAGAUUCUUCUUCAAGGACCGUGUGAAAAUGAAGUCUACCCUCUACCCUCAUCGCCUGCUGCUACUCCAAUUGCUUUUGUCCAUGAACGCACAUCAGUAGCUGGUUGGCAUCAGCGCCUUGGUCAUCCAUCCUUCAAAGUUGUCACUCGCCUCAUUAGUUCUUUCUCCCUUCCCACCACUUCAUAUCUUUCUAGUUCUAAUAAUUGUCAUUCGUGUUCUACCAAUAAAGCUCAUUAGUUACCCUUUCAUAAACACGGUCUAACUAGCACAACACCAUUUGAUUUACUUUACACUGAUGUAUGGGGACCUUCUCCCACUCCUAGUCUCAAUGGCCACAGAUAUUAUGUUAUUUUUGUUGAUCACUUUACCAAAUAUGUGUGGUUCUUUCCAUUGCAUCAAAAAUCAGAUGUUAAAACCAUAUUUCCUCAUUUCUACAAAAUGAUUGAAACUCGUUUUAACAUAAAAAUUAAAGGAGUUUAUUCCAAUAAUGGAGGAGAGUUCACUGUUCUUUGACCCUUUUUCACAACCCAUGGCAUUAGUCAUUAUACAACAACCCCUUAUACACCCCAACAAAAUGGAGUGUCUGAGCGUCGUCAUCGCCAUAUUGUGGAGACAGGUCAAACCCUUCUAAGUCAUGCCUCUCUUCCAUCAGAAUAUUGGGCUUAUGCUUUUGCAACAGCCACAUAUCUAAUCAAUCGACUUCCAUCACCUGUUCUUCAUCAUAAAUCACCUCUUCAAGCUCUCUUCAAGCAACAACCUCGGUAUGAAAAAUUACGUUCCUUUGGAUGUUUCUGCUUUCCCUUGAUGAAGUCGUAUAACACAAACAAAUUUCAAAAGAAAUCUGUUCCUUGUAUCUUUGUUGGCUACUCUACUAGCCAAAGUGCAUAUCUAUGUCUUCAUCUACAAAGUCAACGCAUAUACACCUCCAAACACGUAACCUUUGAUGAAUCUGUUUACCCCUUCAAACAGGUUUCCAUGCCAUCACCCACUGACUCAUCCCCACCAGAAACCUCUUCUUUUCAGGACCAAUUUUGCAGCUUGCUUCCAGGGAGCUUCCAGCAAUCACACGGGCUCAAGGAGAUAUCCCCUCUGCUUCUUCGACUCCAAGUGAAGAUCCAGCUCUUGUGCAACCUCAAGAGGCACCACUCUCCACUUCAGAUCAGGUACCUCUUAGACCUUCUACUUCUGUUUCUCAACCAGAAAAUUCAAUACCAUCCUCUCCACCACCAUGUCCACGAACCAUCAUCACUCGCUCCAUGAACAAUAUCUUUCGGCCAAAACAACUCCACACUACCACCAAGCACCCCUUACCUGAACCACCCGAACCAAGUUGUGUAAGUCAAGCUCUUAAAGAUCCUCACUGGCGCAAGGCUAUGUCAGAAGAAGUGACAACCCUCCUUCAACAUGGGACGUGGGAACUGGUUCCUCCCACUCCUGGCCAGAAUCUUGUUGGGUGUAAAUUUGUGUUUCGGAAGAAACGAAAUCCCGAUGGAACAAUCAGUCGAUAUAAAGCUCGACUUGUCGCUAAAGGAUUUCAUCAACGGCCAGGUAUUGACUACUCUCAAACCUACAGCCCCGUCGUAAAGCCAGCAACAAUUAGGCUUCUUUUAACCAUUGCUGUCAUGCAUGGCUGGCCCCUUCGUCAGUUAGACAUCAAUAAUGCAUUCUUGCAUGGUAAUCUUGAAGAAACAGUCUUCAUGCAUCAACCUCCAGGAUUUGAAGAUCCAUCUCAACCUCAGCAUGUUUGCAAGCUAAAAAAGAGUAUCUAUGGUCUUAAACAAGCCCCACGACAAUGGUAUAAGGCCCUUCGGGAUGCACUCCUCAGCUUUGGUUUUAUUCACUCGGCCACUGACAACUCUUUGUUCAUCUAUAAGUCUCAUGAUAUCUUGUGCUACUGCCUUGUUUAUGUUGAUGACAUAAUUGUCACAAGCAACACACUCAGCUUUGUGAAUAACAUUAUCAACAAGCUUGGCUCUACAUUCUCAGUCAAAGAUAUGGGCUCCUUGCAUUAUUUCUUGGGAAUAGAAGUGAUUCCAACGCCACAGGGGCUCUUUCUAUCUCAACAUCAGUAUAUACGGGAUCUCCUUUCACGAACCUCCAUGGAAAAUGCUAAAGAAACACUCACUCCAAUGUCCACUACAACCAAGCUUACAGUUCAAGAUAAUUCUGAAUGUGUUGACAGCACUGAGUAUCGCAAGAUCAUUGGAGCACUUCAGUAUUUGGGACUCACUCGUCCCGAUAUUGCCUUUGCAGUCAACAGAUUAUCUCAGUUCAUGCAGAAGCCGACAACAAACCAUUGGGCCGCAGCAAAAAGACUACUCAGAUAUCUUAAACAGACCAUGUUUCAUGGUAUCCUUCUCCAAAAGCAUGAUCAAUUCCAACUCAAGACCUAUAGUGAUGCGGACUGGGCAUCAAAUACGGACACUCGUGUUUCAACCACUGCUUUCAUCACAUUCAUUGGUCCUAAUCCAAUCUCAUGGUCUGCACGCAAGAAAAGGGCAGUCUCAAGAUCAUCUACAGAAGUAGAGUUUCGGGCACUAGCUACUGCCACAUCAGAAACAAUUUGGCUUCAUUCUCUUAUCAAGGAACUUGGUCUCACUCUCAUAGAAGCACCUCAAAUGUUUUGUGAUAAUAUUGGCGCCAACCAUUUCAGUUUAAAUCCAGUCCAGCACACACGGAUGAAACACAUUGAAAUUGAUCUCCUCUUUGUACGAGAUCUUGUCCAAAAGGGAACUAUUCGUGUUCAGCACAUCCAUACCAUUGAUCAACUAGCUGAUCUCCUUACAAAAUCACUCUCACGUCAACGCUUUCAACUAUUAAGAUCCAAGAUUGGUGUUGCAGAUGGCACCUCCAUCUUGAGAGGGCAUAUAAGGACAGCUAGUAUUCAUGCAGAAAAUCAGCAUCAGAAUUCGUAACUGCAUUUGAUCAGCUAGUUUAGGAAAUCUGUACAGCUCAUUCUUUCCUUUAUUUUCACAUAUGUUGUUAUACGUUAGCACAAGUUUAGGAGUAAUUUUAGUUUCUCAAAUCUGUAUUUAUACCUCUUCUUCUAAUAAGAAUUGUGUGAAUCAUUUUGUCUAAACCUCUAUAGGGGUGGACUUGUUUUCCAUGUUUUUUCUCCUCUAAAGGUUAGGGGUGAAAGCAACUUAUAGCUGAUGGUUGUUUUCAGAAAUAAGCUGAUCAUAUCAUAGCUGACCGAUUUCUUCUUUGGUCAUCUUGAAGCAAUUUUAAUAUUUAUUUUUCAGUCAGCUACCUUCUAUCUCUUCUUAGCUAUCUAAAAAUCCUCACUCAUCGGCCUCCCAAUAUCAAUGAAAUGGUGCCCAAAAUCUGAAGUGGCUUGAAUUCAGUUCAGGUCUAAAUAGUGGUUUCUGAAUGUUGUUAAGUGGUUUAUUUUUACAUGGCAAAACAUCUAAAAUUAGUAAUAAGAUUUAAUUAUUAUCUUUCUUCUUAUAAUUAACAAUAUUUUCAAAUAUCUCAAAAUGCCAAAAUAUAUUCCUUCUUAUUUUAUAAAAUUGGAAUUAGAUAUUUGAAAAGUAAUAAUUUGAAAAAAUAAUAAUAAUUUAAAAUAUUUCCAAAUAACAAAAAUACGAAAAUUGACUACAUUACAAUGAUGGUAAUUAAUAUGUAAUUAAUUAUGAUAGAAGUUAGUGUUUCUAAUUAUAUUUGGCUAUUAAGAAAAUGUUAGAAAUUCUCUAGGUUGAGUUUCCUUAAUUUUUCUCUCUUUUUUUCUAGUGGAUGUUUAGAUAAAUGUGAGUUAUGUUUUGGAGUUUUAAUUGGAGAAAUUCUGUGAUGAUGUUUUAUGUCAGUUUUGUUGCAUUCUGAGGUGUUGAACUUUGAAAAAUUGUAUUAAAUUCAGUUUUUGUGCAGAUUUUAUGAUUUUAAUGUUGUUGUUUUCCCUUUUGAAUAAGGAAUAUAAAAACAUUUACGGAGUUUAAUUUCUUCAAAAAUUAGAUGAGUUAUGAAACCAAAAUAGCAGUUGCAUGUGGUUGAAUCUCGGUUUUUAUUUUAGAACUUUUUGGAUUUAUUUUAUAAUUUGUCAUCCAAAUUAAGCAAUUCUUAUAAUUUUAGUUUUGAAAAUGAAUUUCAAAAGCAUAGGCUAAUUUAUACUUUAUGUAUAUGAGUUUCACUUUGUAUAUACUUUCUGUUUUUAAAAACAAAAAGUAGGAAGUUAUAAAGUAAGGGGGUGGAUUUAUUUUAUAAGUUGAUUUUGGUGUCAAAGAAAUUAUUCUUAACAUAAUUUUUAAAAAAUAAAAAAUAAAUUAUAUUUGAUUGGUAUUAUAAAUUAUGCUUUGUGGACCAAGCAUGACUCAUCUUAUUUGGGCCUCCCACUACUUUAAUCCUACACAGAUGACACAUUUUUAUUAAGAUCCAGAUCCUAUUAUCAUGGACUGGGCAAUGGAGGCUCAGAUCCGGCCGUAAUCAGACAAGUUGCUGGGACGCCAUGGCUGCAACUACGGUUGCCUGUAAAAUGAAACCCAUUUCACAGAUCACCCGGGUUGCCCCGCCAAGAAACGAGCCCUUCAUAAUCUCUGAUUUACUUGGAAAGUAUCAUCAUAGCCCCUCGAUUUAUUUACUUGGAAACAGAUCGAGGACCCUUUGAAGGACCCUAAAUACAUCCAACCAAACAAUAAUAAAUAAAUAAAUAAAGAUGGACAUCACGGGUCCAGGGAGGGCUCAGAUCCGCCCGUAAUCAGACAAGAUCCGUUUUCGCCAUGGCUGCAACUACAGUUGCAUGUGAAAAAAAAGGGCAUAGAAACCCAUUUCACAGACAAUCCGGGUCGCCCAGCCAAGAGAUGGGUCCUUUCAAAAUGUCUGAUUUACUUGGAAAGUGUCAUCACAGCCACUUAAUUUUCCUGCACAUUUUCUCAGCAACCAAACAGAUACAAGAUCCUUCUCAGAAAACACAUUUUAAAACACAAACAAAAAAACCAAAACAAAACAAAACAAAGACCAGCCUCACCUCAGCGCGGAAGUGAAUAGCGCGUAAAAGGAAGGCUCAGAUUCGCCUUUUAUCAGACAAGAAAAAGAUGACCGUCAUGGCUGCAACCACAGUUGCUUGUGAAACAAGGCACAAAAGGUCCCAUCGCUUAAGCCAUCCGGGUUGCCCCGCCAAGAAACGGACAUUCCCAGGGCCUGACUUACUCUGAAAACGUCAUCACAGCCUUUUAUGUUGCCCAUAUGAACAGAGAGAGAGUGAGCGCUGUUGAUAGCCUCUGAUGUAUAUGUAUAUAUAUAUAUAUAUGUAAAAGAGCGAAGGAAAAGGAGCGUAGUAGAAGGAAUCAUCGGCUCCGACGACCAUGAGAGUGGCAGAGGAAAAUAGGGCCUUUUUAGGGAUUCUCUCGUCUGGAGGGCAACUUCAGAAAAGGGCUUCUUGAUGCCUUAGUGAGAGAAGUGGAUGGCCCUUUCGAUUUUUAGAUUUAGUAGAGAGAGAAAACAAGGUUAACAAAUCAUGAGAACAAUUUUCCUCUCUUUAUAUAAAUAAUUAUUAAUUAUCCAUCUUUAUUUUGAUUAAAUCACUACCGAAAUUUCGAUUUUUAUUUUGAAGGACCCUAAAUACAUCCAACCAAACAAUAAUAAAUAAAUAAAGAUGGACAUCACGGGUCCAGGGAGGGCUCAGAUCCGCCCGUAAUCAGACAAGAUCCAUGUUCGCCAUGGCUGCAACUACAGUUGCAUGUGAAAAAAGGGCAUAGAAACCCAUUUCACAGACAAUCCGGGUCGCCCAGCCAAGGACAGGUCCUUUCAAAAUGUCUGAUUUACUUGGAAAGUGUCAUCACAGCCACUUAAUUUUCCUGCACAUUUUCUCAGCAACCGAACAGAUACAAGAUCCUUCUCAGAAAACACAUUUUAAAACACAAACAAAAAAACCAAAACAAAACAAAGACCAACCUCAGCGCGGAAGUGAAUAGCGCGUAAAAUGAAGGCUCAGAUUCGCCUUUUAUCAGACAAGAAAAAGAUGACCGUCAUGGCUGCAACCACAGUUGCUUGUGAAACAAGGCACAAAAGGUCCCAUCGCACAAACCAUCCGGGUUGCCCUGCCAAGAAACGGACAUUCCCAGUGCCUGACUUACUCUGAAAACGUCAUCACAGCCUUUUAUGUUGCCCAUAUGAACAGAGAGAGAGAGAGAGAGCUGUUGAUUUUCCAGAGAAUCAAGACAGCCUCUGAUAUAUAUGUACACACAUGUGUAUGAAAAGAAAGAAAAGAAAAGAAAGAGCGAAGGAAAAGGGCUGUUGAUGGGCGUCGUAGAAGUAAUCAUCGGCUCCGAAGACCAUGAGAUUCAGAGAGGGGCAACCACCCUUAGAAACUCCCCAUCCCUCCGACACGGUCCCUGGAGCCUCAGUCUUAAACUAAUGAGGUCUAGCCCUAACUUUUACUCAUCCUUUCCCUUUUAUACUACUCCCUGUCUUCUUCUUCUUUGCUUUUAUUUUACUUUUUUGACCUUUCUACCCUCACUAAACCCGGUAUCAAGGAUUGAAAUGUCGAAUUUCGGGAAAUUUCCCGAUAUUUCCUACCAGUCCAGCCCGCGCACAGGAUACAAAAUCUGUCCAUUUUUUAAAAAAAAAACACAAGAUGUUAUUUGGUAAUCUGAUCAUGAUUUGCAGGCAAAGGUUGUGUUUUUCAGCCUGGCUCAAAAAUCGUGGAUUUAGGGUUCGUGAAAUUUAAAUCCAAUGGCACAAAAGCAAAGAGACCCCUAGAACAGAUCCAGAAAACACAGGGAGCAAAAAAAAAAGCAAUUUUUUUGGUUUUCCUUGGGGGUUUUGCGUGGAUUUUCUCGGAAAUCAAACGAGGAUGAAUUUUCCCGGAAAUCGAAUGGGGGAUGGAUUUUCUUGGGAAUCAAACGGGGGUUGCAAAAAAAAAAAUAACAUGAUUAGAUUAGUACCUGCGAGGAUUGAGAGUGGCAGAGGAAAAUAGGGCCUUUUUAGGGAUUCCCUCGUCUGGAGGGCAACUUCAGAACAGGGCUUCUUGAUGCCCCAGUGAGAGGAGUGGAUGGCCCUUUCCAUUUUUAUAUUUAGUAGGGAGAGAAAACAAGGAAACAAAUCAUGAGAACAAUUUUCCUCUCCUAUAUAAAUAAUUAUUAAUUAUCCAUCUUUAUUUCGAUUAAACCACUACCAAAAUUUCGAUUUUUAUCAGUAAUAUUUUAUAAAUUAAAAUUAAUUUAAUAAGAUAAAUUAUUAAUAAUUUUAAUUAUUUAAAUAAAUUAAUGUUAAUAAAAAAUUUAUUACCACAUAUAUAUAAAAUAAAAUCUUAGAAAUUAAAUAUCAAAUAAAGUAUUUAUAUAAAUUAAUUUAAUUUUUCAUAUAAAAUGUAAUAAAAAUUUAUAAAUAAAUAUUGUCUUCAAUAAGAUGAUUCAUUAGAUGAAACCAUAUCAAUCUUCAUUUUGAUACUAAAGACUAUUACAAUAUCAUAUGUAUUAUAUUUAUGUAUAAAUUGUUUUUACUCAAUAAAAUCAAAUAUUUUUUAAUUCAAUUUUAAUUUUAUACAUUUUCAAAAUUCAUAUUUAUUAUUCUUAAAAUUCAAAUAAAUCUACUGAUGUUUUUCUUCUUGAUCAUAUCUAUAUCAAUUAUAUUUAUAAAAUAACUCUAAAAUAUGUAUUUUUACUUAUUUUAUCAUUUUUUUUAUAAUUUUCUAAAUAUUCCUAUAAAUUUUAAAUAAUUUUCGUUCCACCAAUAUUUUCAUUCUAAUCUUGUAUCUAUCGAAAAUAAAUGAAAGACAAUUUUUUACAACAAAAUUUUUUAUGAUUUUUAAAUCAAAAGUUAGUUUUAAAAUCUCAAAUAUUUUUAAUCCACUAUUAUGUUUUUAAAAUUAUAUAAUUAUUUUUUAAAAUAAUAAAAACAAAUAAAAAUAAUUAAGAUUAUGUUUAGUUUGUUAAAAAAAAAUAUUUUAUCAAAUUUGAUUUAAUAGUGAAAAUAAAAAUAAAAUAAUAAUUAAAAUUACUUAAAAACCAAUGUAACUUAAAUUUUUUUUUUUUUUGAUCUUUAGCUUAAAAAAAAAAAAUAAAUAAAAUGAAUUUGAAAAGAUAAUUAAUCUCUCUAAAAGGAAGAGACUCAAAAUUAUCGGAGGAAGAAAAAAAGGGAGUAAGAUUUGAAGGAUAAAAAUAAAGAAGGAACAAGUGGGUGGGUAUUGCAUUAUAUCCAUGAGUUGAUCAAUAACUAGCUCCAUUUCCUUUCCUUUAUUUUCUUGCCAGCCAAACAAAAUCUCAAGCCUGGAACCAUCAUCCCAGCAACCAUUUAUUAAAAGCCAUACACCAAGGAUUCGUAUAACACCAUGGAAUCAACCAUCAUCACCCUCUCAAACCUACAUGCCAAAGCUACACAGACUACUCCCAAGUUCCCAAAUAACCAAGCUUCAUAUCUACUAGCUCCAAAACGGUUAAACAAGAUGAAAGAAGGAAAGGAAGAGAUUACUUGAUGAGAGCCUGGUAAAGGCAGAUCUGCAAAAAUUACAAGCCUUGUCCACAUAGCUUUAUUUAUAGCCCCAUGAAAGCAGAAUUACUUCUUCAUUACCAAAUGUCAGUAUAGGCAAUGCCAGACCUCCAUCUUCCCAUGGCUGCCAAGCCCUUUUAUCAAUAUGUGAAGAUGCAAACCAAAAUGGUUAGCCCAUCAUCCAAAGCUAGCUCCUCCUCCUCCUCCUCCUUAUUUACACCUAACAGUUUCCCUGAUUCACAACAAGUUCAAUUUCCUUGCUUAACAUCUUUCAGAUAGAACAGAACAAUUACGAUUACAAUCACAAAAUGUAACACCACCCCACAUCUUCCUCUGUUUAGCUAAGCAUUACAAGACCUCAAAGUUGAUGUUCCAUCAUCAUAAUAGGCAUGGUGUAUUUCCAGUCUCAAACAAGUUAGGUUCCAUCCUAACACCAUAAUGGUGGGUUGUUUUACAUCAGACAACGAAUCUGAGUCAGUUAACAGGCAAAAAGAAACAUUCAAUAGUUCAAGAAGAUGGCUUAGAAUUUUCUGAAAACCUCAAAACUGUUUUCAUUUAUAAUUACAAACCAACCCAAAAGUUGAACAAUAUGAGGCACUGGGCUGAACAAUCACCUCAGAACUCUGGUAAAAAGAAUGAAGGUUUCUAUAGAUAAAAUGGCCUUUGCAAAUAAAGCAAUGAGAAAAACGGGAUAUAAAUUAAGGAAUAAUAGAAUGAAAAUGUUGAAAGGAAUUUCACAUGGCUUCGAAGAAUGAAUAGAUUCCGUACCCUUGCCGAGAAAUUACAUGGCUGCCUUGCCCCUCUGUUGAAGUACUAUAUCAUGCACAACUUCCCCUGCUGAGUUAACAAAGUAGGUUUCCUGCCAUGGAAAAAGAACAUUUGUUGGUGCUUCAACAAGAACAAAUUUAGUCAAAAAAGACAAAUACUCACAAUCUCUAAGGAGCUGACUCUAUGAAGAAGGAACCCAUUAACCAUUCCCCUGAGGAAACAAAGAAAAAAAUCACACAAACUUCAUAGUUUCAUAUGUAUGAACCAAUGUAGAACACCAUGAAGAACUAUGAACAGAAAUACUCACUUACUAAAACCUGAUAUUCCAUUUACAGAAGCAAGAGGAAGUUUUUCAUCUAUUGAACCUGGGUUCCUGAUGUAAGCUAUACUAUCUUUACGAGCAUAGUCACUACAUCCCUCCCCACUCAGGUACACAUCCUGGUGAGCAAAUGCAUGGAUAAAGCGUUACUUUCUUCAUAGGCACCAGAAAGAUUCCAAAUUUAACAUAUCAGAAAGUUGUUCAUUCAAUUCAUUAGGAACUGUCUUAGAUUUUCAUAUAUAUUGAAAAUUUGGACUUUGAUCAUCUCAAAAGCAAGUUCUCUAAAGAACCCAAAAUCAAAACCUUGGGCAUGGGAUGUCUUCACCCAUUGAUACUCAAUGGGAAGAGCCAUAAAUACUUACCACUCCAAACUUAUAAAAAAUAUGGUGUAGAUGCUCAUAAAGUUGUAUUUCUAUUCAUUCCCUGUUUCCUUCACAAACAGCCAAUGAGCAGAAACCAACAACUAUGCGCCUGGAUCAUAAGGAGGAAAAAAGGAGACAAUUAGUACUUGGGAUGGAUAGUUUCUUUAUUAAGUUAAACAUGGAGUUGAAAUGGUAGGGGUGCUUGGCAAUGGCAACAGGACAGCAAACAAUGAAGGUCCAACAUAGUAACCAGAGAAAACAAAAGGAAAACGAAUGUUUUAACUCCACAACAAUUUGGGUUAAGGCAAAAUUUAAAUGAAAACCAAAAUUUUAUUGUUGAAAGAAAGAAAAUUUGUGAAAUAAAAUUAAGUUGAGAAGUAGAUUAUCACGCAUCAGAACCACUCUGAACUGACAUGAUUUUCAAUUUUUUCAAAAUUUUCCAGACAUUACAACCUUGCUUAUUCCUAGGUUCAUGCAAUUAUAAACAGCCAAUAUGGUGCAAUGUCUAGUGUCUUUGUCAGCCCAUGUAAUUGAUCAUUUCCAGCACCAUUUAACGGAUUCAUAAGCAUAAAAUCCUUCAAGUUUCAAAGAGGAGCCCGAUUAAGAGGAAAGAAGAAUGAAAUGCAGCAUAAAGGAGCAGAAACCAAAAAAAAAAGAAACAAAUGGGGGAUAAAAUGUGUGAUAAAUACAUAUAUGGGAUAUUGAUAGUGUAACUAAAUGAAAUAGAUAUCAAAUCAAUCAUAUACACAUAUAAAUACAACAUAGAAAUAAGCAUGGCCAUGGUGAAAAAGGGCUGCAAUGUGGGUUGUAACCAGAGAAUGGAAUAUGGACAAGGAGCAUAAAAAAUGAUUUGGCAGGCCAAGAAAUGGCUAUUUUAAUAUGAUGAAAAAGAAAGAGAACAAAAGAAAUUCAUUAUGAACAUGACUUGAAGAGUACACCUACGCUCAAAUAAUGACCAAGUGAUCAACUUUAAAAUCACAUUCCUAACCUCAGCCCUACCCCUCAUGGAAAAAUGGAAAAAAAAAAAAUUCUUAAAAGGCCUUGAGAGGGGUAAACCUGCUGGGACUCAAACCUGGAACCACCCCACAUCCCCACCCCCAACCCAAGCUACUCGAGCCACACCUCAAGGGUGAUAAAGAUCUAACCUUCAGCAUUGAAUAAAAAAUAAUCUAAAUGUGCAAAAAAUAUCCAGCAUUUUCUCAUGCAUUUUAAUUGCUUACUAGACUAGAUAGAAUCUCCAGUCAUUGAUGAGAACAAAGAACUCAGUGUCUUUAUUAUUAUUAUUGAAUAAAAAAUAAUCUAAAUGUGCAAAAAUAUCCAUUAUUUUCUCAUGCAUUUUAAUUGCUUGCUAGACUAGAUAGAAUCUCCGGUCAUUGGUAAAAUUCAAUAAUUCCAAUUUCCACCAGUUGAUUUGUCAAGUCCCUAAUUAAAUAAUGAAAGAUACAAUACUUGAUGAGUUAUAUACUAAAAUACUUGUGCUUCCCAAUCUAAUUCUAACAAGAACCCUACAAAAUGCACACCUUAAUCCAACUCAACCAACACUCAAUCUUGCGAUUACCUCAUAGUCCACAAGGUACAUCGGAGAGACCUAACUUAUCUUGAUGUUACAAGAUUUCACAUGAACAUCUGAAUACUGGUUUCCAUAAUUCUUUGUUAUCAUACAUCUCCUGGGGCAUGGUAAAGAUGAAUAUAAAAACAAAAUGAAAUCAAUACAAGAAGUUGAUAGCCCCUCUAUGAUCAUAACUGGGGUCAGCACAAUCAGUAACAUAAGAUUCAUGGUGUAGUAUUGAAGUGUAUCAUAAACUCAACACAAGCAUAUGCAAUGUCAAUUAUCAUUAAGUCAACAAUGAUAUUAAACAUUGGUAUAAACAAAUGAAACAAUGACAACACAACAGGAAAAAACCUUAUACAACUAUUAAUCUAUCCUCUUUGGUAGUCUUUUAUCAUCUUCCACAAAUUUCCCAUUUUCCUCCAUAUGCUGCUCAGAAUCCGACCCCAUUUUUUUUGUAUCUUUGUCAACAUUAAAGGAAAUAAAUGCAUGCAACUUUUAAAGAUUUGAGGCCAUGUGAAAAACUUGUCAUUUGAUGUCAAGUUUUUUUUUAUAUGAAAAGGUUUUCCAAAAUGAGAAUUGCAGAACUAUCAAUCUAUCUUCAUCUAGGUUUGGAGCUUCUCAAGUCUUUUAUCAAUUAUCAUCCUCCAUAAAAUUCCAGUUUUCUUCUGUACAUUGCUCAACCUCCAACAUAAUUUUUAAUUUUUUUUCUAAUUAAGAUUAAAUACAUGCAUAUUUUGAAGAUUAAGCCAUGUGGAGAAUUGUCAAUCAAUCGUAAGUUUUUCCUAUAUCAAAUGCAUUUUUUAAAAUUUUCGGCCUUGUUGGAAAAAAGACCUAAUGAGAUGGGUUUGUAUCACAAAACACUAAGGAUUGACUCAAAAGUCCCAAUGAAAUUAUAGCUACUGUAAAAACCAUGUAACCGCUUCCAAACUUAAACCCAUAUUACAAGAGGAUAGUAGAAGAGGCCUCUCUUCCGACUGACAUAAUAACCAUGAGAAGUAUUAGCCAACAAAUCUUAAAUUGAGCAAAUUCAACAAACCAGUUGAUACCUUAAAUGCCCCAGUAUCCAAACCAAUAAUGUCUAAGGUUUUCCCAAAAGGUAUUUUGAUCUGCUUUAGGAAGUAACCUGUUCCCCGUCCUCUUGAAACUCUGGUACUGUACCUACAAGAAUUACAAUUCAGGAUUACCACACAAAGAGACUAAACCAAAAAGACUGUUACAUUAAAAACUACAUCGGAGUCCAAGUUUUGUAACAAUGAAAUUUCAAAAGAUGAGCUACAAAAAUGACACAACUGAUUGCAAAGCGGAUGGCAUACCAGGGAACUUUCAGUGUUGAAAAACGCCAAGUACCCUGUAAAAGAAGAUGUCAUCUUCUAAGAUUGUUCCUAACAGAUGAAACCAAUGAAAUCUAAUUAAACUCAGCACUAAUUUAUUUUCCAAUCACACACCUAUAAAACAAAACAAAAUAAAACUACAGAAAUAAAUAUGAACCACUAUUCCAUUACUUCAACCAAAGCAUGGUUUCUAUUAUUUCAGUUAAAUUCACAAAAAGUUAGGAGAGAAUCAUUUCUACAACUUACCCAGAGUGAAGCAACGCAUAACUUUGAUUAAAUCUGGCUAAACUACAACUAAAGUUUCCAUAUAAAUGGAGUGUAAGCCUAAAGGUGCCACAAGAGAGUUCAUAUAAAAAAUAGUAAAAGGGCUUCCCACAUUGAAUUUACUAGCCAUGGUCUUACAUUGUGUGAGUUGAUCGUCUUCCCCAAGUUCACUAAUGUUUAUCACAAACCUUGCCUUAUAAGUCUUUGCGGCCUUCUCCAUCUUCAUGGGAAAAAACAAUUCCAAUUAGAACAGGGAAGAUAAAAUAUAAACUCAAAAUGCAAUUAAUGUAGUAGACGAUAAUCAUUCAACUAAGAUCAGUAACAGAGGGGGGAAAUAACAAAGCCUAAAAACAGAGAAGGUGGAAGGCAGAAGUAAGUUGGAUGAAUUAGAACCAAGAAGACAAGACAAGAUCAAAACCAACAGAUGAGAAGGCUGACACAAACAAUUGAGAGAGAUCAAAAACUGAACCAUAUAAUAAAAAACUCACUCACAUGAUUAUUCUCUGGCCAAAAGAUAAAGGUUAUGUUAUUAUUUUUUUAUGUUUAGUUUCAAAGUAGAAAAUAAGCGAUAAAAUCAAAUAUAAUUAAAAUUAUUUAAAUUAUAUAUAUUUUUCAAUUAUUUAGUCUAUACAUAGAACAGAAAAAAUAAAUAAAAUGAAUUUGAAAUAAUAUAAAAAAUAAUUUAUUAAAUUUAAUUUAUUUUUAAAUUUUCUUUAUCGCUUUUUCUUUCUUCCUAUUUUUCUUUUCCAUUUUUUUCCCACAUUUUCUCUUAAAUUUUCCACUAAGCAAACAAAGCCAAAGAUCCUCAAGUUGCAUAUACAAUUAAAAACGGAAAAAGAAAGAUCUUCUACUGUUCAACAACUGUCAUAUUAAAAAAAAUAAUAAAAAUAAAAAUUCGAUCCCAGUAAAACCUAACACAAAAUUCUUUCCUCAAAGUUAAAUCAUUCACAUAGAAAUUAACUGAGAAAGAAAUAAUAAACUGUUUGGUUGCUGAGAAAAUGGAGGCAUAGAAAAGGAAAUCAAAAUUUUGAAACUCUAUUAUUUCCAUUAUUCGAAGGCCCGGAAGAAAGAGGGAAAAAACUUCCACUCUUACCUUAAUUUAGGUUGUUUUGUCAAUUUCGAGGGAGGAAAAAACAGGAAAUUAAUUUCAAGCGAUUUCACUUUCAGCAUUCUCAGUAACCAAACGGAGCGUCUGAUAAAACUAUCAUAUCCACCAACAGAGCCAAAACCAAAUAUACCCACCAUCAACAUCUUAAAACAAAAUCCAUAAAGAACGAGAAAAACCCAUGCUUUUCUUCAAUGAACAAAAGGAAUCAAUAGAGAGGAUGAGAAAUAGACCUGUUUGAGAAGAUGGGUCUGCUGAUUAAGAGGUCUAAAUCCUCCUCUAACACUGAUAAAGUAAAGGUCAAGAGGCCUGCUACUGCCACUGCUGCUCUGGGACAUGGGCUUCUCCCAAGGCCGACCCAAGUUGAAUGCACAAGCAGAGAGACAACUGUGUUAUAACAGUGCGAACCCAUGAAGGUUUCCCCAUUGUUAACACAGGUCUCACAGCCUCAGCUCUUCAACUGGUAAUUGAUUUCACUCAUAGAUCUGAAGAUAUAUGAGGAAUGUAACCGUCGACACCCGUAUCUCUAAUUUCCUCAGUGUUAUCAAUUGCUUGAUUAAGAUAUUCGCUAAUGAAGCUCCACUUGGCAGUUGGCAGGCAGGACCCAUUAUUGAAGGGAAAUGCCUCUACAGUUCGUUUAUAUUAUGGACUCUUUGACUAAAAUCGCUUUGUCAUAUUUGAAACUUUCCUCACAAACAAACGCACCAUCAGCCAUUAAACAUCAUAUUUCAGCAUUCUUUUUUUGCCCUUUUGAUAAUUGUGACACUGUCACACUCCUAUCUCCUAAUUUUCAAAAAUUAUUUUAAAUUUAUAAAUUGAGUUACCACUUCAAAAUAUAAAUUUUUAAAAUAAAAUUAAGUACAUUUAUACUAAAUAUGUGUAUUUGCGUUUAUUACCUUGUAAUAAUAUUUUAUUUAUUUUAUUCUUUAUUAUUAUUGUAAUUUAGAUGAGUUGGUUCGAUCUAAUCUAAUAUUUGAACGAAUUUGGAUAUUUAUUUUUAAUAUUCAGAUUAGACUUUGGUUCAUUUUUUAAAUCUCAUCUUAAUUUGGAUUUGGCUUGAGAGAUACCUCUAAUGAAAAUUAUUAUGGUUCUCUUUAUACAUUCUAUUCUAUUUUUCUUUUAAUAUCUUUGUUUAUUCUCUCGUCUUUUCUUCUUCUUAUUCUUUUAUUUCACAACAUGUUAUCAACACAGUUCUGAAUAUAUAGAAAAAGAGAAGAAUUCAUCUAGAAAAUUUCUUAUAGGUAUGUAGUCUUAUUCUCUUCGAAUGAAAUAUGAAUAGUAUGCAUUGUAUUAUUAUAAUUUUUAUUUACUUUAUCUCAUAGCCAGAAAUUAUGUGAAUCAUAUUUCAUAUAAUUACAUAUUUUAAUUAUUUAAUAACUAGAAGUUAUAUAGAAAAUUUUUCAUAACUAAAAGUUAUGAAAAAAAUAUGUCCAAUCUUUAUAACAAGAUGUUAUGGAGUAAAUUACAAAAAUACAAAUACGUAGUCGGAAACUAUGCAUAAGAUCCCUAAUUACUUUUUUAUUAUAUUAUAUAACUGAAAGUUAUAUAAAAUAACAUUAUAUGGCCAGAAGCUAUAUAAUGAAGAGUUCAUAAUAUGAAGCUAUGUACAAAUCCAAAAUUACAAAUAUACGACCAGAAGCUAUGUAUAUAACUCAUAAUUAUUUGUUUUUAAUUAUAUAGUAUAACUGAAAGUUAUACAAAAUAAUAUUAUAUAGCCAGAAGCUAUAAAAUGAAUAGUUUAUAGCUUGAAAUUAUGCACAAAUCUGCAUAAUGAAUAGCUCAUAGCUUGAAGUUAUGCACAAAUUUAUAUAAAAAAUAGUUCAUUGCCUAAAACUAUGUACAAAUUUAAAUAUUUUCUUGUUAUGACAAAAUAAUCAUAACUUGAAGUUAUGAAAGAUAUUAACUUUUAAUUUCUUUAUUUUCUUUUAAUUAUAUUGUGUAACCGGAAGUUAUACAUAAAUAGUUUAUAGUCUGAAGUUAUGCACAAAUUUACAUAAAAAAAAAAGUUCAUACCCUGAAUCUAUGUAUAAAUUUGCAUAUUUUUUUGUUUUGAUAAAAUAAUUAUAACUCAAAGUUAUGAAAAAAUAUUGGCUUUUAAUUUUUAUUUCAUAUUCACUUAUUUUUCACAAUAGAAAUCAUGGAAAACAAUUUUUAUUAACAAUGGUUUCAUAACCAGAAACUAUGCAAACAAUUUCUAAUUCUCUUGUAUAACCAGAAGUUAUACAAAACAAAAUUGUCAAUGAACAACUAUGUACCUAGAAGAUAUAUAAUUUUUUUUAAAUUUUGUUAUAUAAUCAGAAGUUAUAUCAUAAUAUAAUUGUCAAUUGUUUAAUGUUAUUAUAACAUUAUUUAAAUUUUAAUUAUUCAUAGCCUGAAGCUAUGAAGAUAAAGUUAGUAAAUUAUUAAUUAUUAGAGCUUGUAUAAGAAGUUAUAUGAAUAUAUAUAUAUAUAUAUAUAUAUAUAUAUAUAUAUAUAUAUAUAUAUAUAUAUAUUAUAACCAGAAGUUAUAUAAAUAUUAUUAUUCAUAAACCAAAGUUAUGAAAAUAAGAAAAUUAAUAUUCUUUGUGCUAAUCAAAUGUUAUGUCAAAGUUGCUAAUAUGUACUUUUUUUUAUAGUUAGAAGCUAUAGAGAACAAAAUUGUUAACUAACAAUUUUGUACAACUUUAUGAAAUUUAUAUGACCAAAAGUUAUAAUGAAAUAUAUUAUAGCUUGAAGCUAUGAUAACAAGCAUAUAGAUAAUAUUUACAUAUUAUCAAAAGAUUAAUAUUUUGUAUAUCAAGUUAUACAAAUAGACAAGUGUUUGAUAGUUUUUAUAAAUUUCUAUUAUUAGAAGUAUAUUGUCAUUAGUAGAAAAAUUUAUAUAUAGAUGUGGAAUUUUGAAUUGCAUGAAAGUAUGAUAUUUUUGUAUCAGAGGCGAUGGUUUGGAAUACUUUUUUUAUUCAAGUUAUUUAAUAUACAAUAAUAUUUUGAUUUAGAAAUUUGAGAUUUUUUGGGUACAUGUGAAAUAUAUGACUUGGUCAUAUGAUUAAUAAAUUGAUUUCGCAUGUCUUAUUUGUUUAUAACAUGUUUUUAUGAUUGAAAUUUUUUGAGUUGUAUAAAAUAAUAUAUAUUAUUGUAUGUUGUCACAUAUGAUAUUUUUAUUAAUGCAUUAAUUUCAUUAUUCAAGAAUAUCUUUUCAAAAACAAUAGAUUCAACUAUUAUUUUUAAUAUAUUAUGUUAUAUCUUUACAUACAUAUUUAUAUAGAUUUGUAAUGUUUCAAUUGAAGUUUUGAAAUAACAAGAUGCUUUAAAUCAUGAUAUGUUCUUUUGAAAUUUUGAUUUAUGAAUUAAUUUCUGCACAUUGAUUUAGAACGUAAUAAUAUUUUGAAUAAAAAUUAUUGAUUUAUCACUACAAUUAGUUUGAUUAUUGAAAGACUUCCUAGUUAUUUCAUAUAUAAAUUGCUCCACACUUAUAAAAUCAAAUGUGUGAGAUAUUUAAGAAACAUAUAACUUUAAAUUAUCUUUUUCAUAUUUGUUUUGUUGUGUUAUAUAUGCUUUCAUUGUUUUUACACAACUUAUUAAGGUAAGUCAUCAUCGAUGACUAGUAUUUUUCCAUUUGAUUUUAACUCAUUCUCUAUGAUAAUAUUUCUUCAACUUUGAGGUCUUUAUGACAUGUUUUAUGACUUGUUAUUUUGAUGAAACUCUUAUCUCAUUAAUUGCACAACAUUGAUAACAAACAAUGUUAAUACUAUAUCAGGUGAUAUAAACCUAAUUAAAGGCUCUAGAAUAACUUAUAAUAUGUCACUAGUAGUAUUUGAUUCCAUGUGAAUGACACUUUAUACGAUGAUAGAUCAAGAAGAAUCUUGUAAGACCAACUUGGUCCCCCAUGGUAAAAGGUCGUAUGGAUGUACAUUAUAAAACCAGAAGUUUUUAUUUAGUAACUAGUCUACCUAUACACUUGAAAGAUAGAAUGACACGUUGUGCAGAUUAUCAUUUUAAUUAGACAAUUUUCUUGCCGUUAGGGAUAGAAGAGUCAAUUCCAGAAGAACAGCGUGAAAUUAUUUGGAAUGCAUCGACUUUGACUUAUCUUGAUCCUCGUACUAAUCAAUGUGAAGUGGAAGUUCAAAAGAUUAUUUAUUUGCAAGAACUUGUAAAUCAUUAACUACAUGUUAUCAUUGAUGCAAAGAAAGUGACAAUCAUUUUCGCUUACCUAGAACAUUCCAGUACGAAUUAAUGUCCCUGAAUGACAAUUAAAUAAUGCGUUGAUGUCCCUAAAUGACAAUUAAAUAAUGAGUUGAUGUCCCUGAAAGACAAUUAAAUAAUGAGUCUAAUGCACACUUGAAGCGUGGUAAACCCUGAAAAGGCAAACAAAUUCCUUUAAAAGAAAAACACAAGGAAAGAUAUAUGAAAUGUGACACUCUUGAAGAAGUUGCAUAUAAAAUGAGUUAUUAAAAUGAUUGAUCAAUCUCAAGCAGCCCCUGAAGAGGCACAGUUUAAACAAGUAGCCCUAUGAUAGGUGUAUGUUUAAUAAUUAGUUCCUGAAAAUGUACAAGUACCUGAUAUUGAUGAGAUCUCAAUUAUUUACUUAUAUAUGGAAAAAAAAUGGGAUUGAAAUACUCUUGUCAUUAACAAUAUAUUUUCUUUCCAAAUAGCUGUUGACAUUAUAAGAAAUGAUGAGGAUCCCAAAGUAGAAACUAUGAAUGAAUGUCAACAUAGAAAAUAUUGGCCAAAAUGGAAAGAAUUCAUCCCGAAUAAAUUAUACUCAUUAGAAAAAUGAGAAGUAUUUGGACAUGUAGUCUAAACGCCUGAAGUUGUCAAACUUAUUGGAUAUAAAUGAGUAUUUAUAAGAAAGUGUAAUGAGAAAAAUGAAAUCACAAUAUAUAAAAUGUGACUCAUAGCUCAAGGUUUUCCGCAGAAACCUACUAUUAACUACGAGGAAACAUAUUCUCCUAUGAUGGACGCAACCAUAUUUAGAUAUCUAAUUUGUUUAACAAUCUUAGAAUGACUAGAUUUGCGUUUCAUGGAUGUCAUUAUUGCAUAUUUACGUGAAUCUUUAGAUAAUGACACACACACACACACAUAUAUAUGAAAAUCCCUGAAGGAUUUCAAAUGCCUGAAGCAACAAAUUCAAAACAUUGUAGCAUAUACUCAAUUAAGUUACAAAGAUCCUUGUAUCAAUUAAGCAAUCCAAAAACAUGUGAUACAAUCACUUCAAUGAAUAUUUGAAGCGAGAAAUAUGUAUGUAUUACCUUAUUUAUUUAUACAUAUUCAUUAUAUUGAAUUUUUUCAAUUAUUAUUGUAUAUGUGGAACAUUGAUUUUUUUUGGAACUCCUGAAGAGCUUACAAAAAUAGUUGACUAUUUAAAAAGUAAUUUUUGAAAUGAAAGAUCCUGGAAAACAAUUUUUUUUUCCUCGGCCUGCAGAUCGAGUAUUUUUCAAACGAAAUAUUAGUUUAUUAGUCAACAUAUACAAAGAAAUUCUUGAAGCACUUUUAUAUGGAUAAAUCACAUCCAUUAAGUUCUUUGAUGAUAGUUCAUUCACUUGAAGUGAAAAAUGACUCCUUCUGUCCUAAAGAAGAUAAUAAAGAACUACUUGGUCCAAAAAUACCAUAUUACAGUGUUAUUGGUGCACCGAUGAAUCUUGUAAAUUAUACAUGACCAAAUAUUGCAUUCUUUGUUAAUUUACUUAUGAGAUAUAGUUCUACACCAAUUCAAAGACAUUGGAAUAAAAACAAUCAUGUACUACAAUAACAUGGGUCUAUGUUAUUCCAAAUGAUCAGAAUCUUAAGUGCUUGAAUAUGUAGAUGUUGACUAUCUUUCACACCCCCACAAAGCUCGAUUUUAAAUGAGGUAUGUAUUUAUCUAUGGUGGUACGACAAUAUCGUGGAGAUUAAUCAUGCAAAUAAUGGAAACAUGUGGACUACCCUCCAUCAAAGGUAAUGCUACCAAGUUAAUAAUGUUGCAUGCAUUGCACAUAUUAAAGAAUGAUACAUUAAGGGUGAUAGAAUUAAGUAUAUAUCGUCCAAGUCUUUUACUUUCAUUAACUCAAAAAGAGUGAUGAAAUUGCUAUUCGACGACAAUUUAGUAGAUCUAUUCACAAAGGCAUUGCCAAUUGUAAUACUCAAGAAGCUCAUUGGAAUACAGCGACUCAAAGAUCUCCAUGUUGUGCUACUAGAGAAAAUAUAAUCAUGUCAACAUGAGGGGGAGCUAAUUGAUAAGAAUAUCACUACGCUACACUCUUUUUUCCUUCAUCCAAGUUUUGUCCCAUUGGAUUUUACUGGCAAGGUUUUUAAUGAGACAGUUGUGGUAAUCCAAAAAAAUAUUGUACUCUUUUUCUUUCACUAGGGUUUUUCCCAUAGGGUUUUUCCUAGUAAGGUUUUAAUGAGACAUUCUUAUGAUCAUCCAAGGAGGAGUAUUAUAAAAUAUGAGAUUUUGUAUCACUAUGGUAACUUGUGGAUGAUCAUUCAUAUUAAUGUACAUCUCUUUGUAACUCCCUAUAAAAAGGAGAUACCUCUAAUGAGAAUUAAUCCGGUUCUCUUCCUAUAUUUUGUUAUACUUUUCUUUGAAUAUCUUUGUUUAUUCUCUCGUUUUUUUUUUCUCAUUCUUUUAUUUCACAACAUAUAUAUAUUGUUAGGAAUUUGAGGCUAAUCCAACUUAUGGUAAUCACCCUAGAGGGGGGGGGGGGGUGAAUAGGGUGAUGGUCUCUUUUCGCAAAUUUAAACAAGUGAAUGUAAGAGACAAUUAUAUACAAAUAUCAAUAUAUAUAUAUAUAUAUAUAUAUAUAUAUAUAUUGUUAGGAAUUUGAGGCUAAUCUAACUUAUGGUAAUCACCCUAGAGGGGGGGGGGGGGUGAAUAGGGUGAUGAUCUCUUUUUGCAAAUUUAAACAAGUGAAUGCAAGAAACAAUUAUAUGCAAGUAUCAAUAUAUAGACAAUUGCAUAUAAAUUAAAGAGUAGGGAAGAGAGAAUGCAAAUACAAGAGUUUAUAGUGGUUCGGCGCAACCCGACCUACAUCCACUCUCCUCUAAUUUCAAUCCUGAGCUUGAGGUUCCAUUAAUCCAAGACUUCCAAACCAAGCCUUCAAGCAAUACAAUUGGAUUAUGGUUCCAAUUCACCCUCUUGGACUUUUGGCUCCAAGCACCCUUUACACUUCUCAAGAGAUAUCCCACUCUUGAACAACCCUUCAAGUGAUACCCCACACUUGAGAAACUUCCUCUCAAAGAUUUACAAAUGAAUGAUCUCUCAAAAAUCCUAGCACAAAAACUUUAAGCUCAAAUGAUACAAGAAAAACUAUGAUUGAAUGGUGCACUAAAGACAUGCAAGUUUUGAAAUAAUGGUGCACUAAAAAAUACUCUUCCAAGGCUCAAAUAUAAUCAAGAAAGAUUUGGGAAGAUUAAGCUCUCGAAACAAUGAAUAUUGGAGCCUUUUUAUAGAAGAAAAAAACCAAACUAGCCGUUGGGGGUUCGUCCGGUUGAGCUAGGGGUUGAUUGGUUGACUAGCCGUUAGCAUUUAAUGAUUGGUAGGUGACUGUUGGGCCUCAAUCGGACCUCGACCGGACCUCAACCGGUUGAUGUUCAACCUUGACCAGGAAGAGAAGGCCACUAGGAGAGAGAGAAACUUUUUAGCCUCCUUCAACCGGUCCUCGACUGAACGAGCACAACCGGUGAAUCGGUUGAACCGGUUGAAUCAUUUUUUGGCUCAAUACCCAACCUUUUUCAACUUAAAACCUUUUAACACAAGUUUGAAAAUCAUUUAACACAAGGUUUUAGUUAAAAAUAUGAAAUCAUCCAAUUCUUAAAAUUUUUAAAACAAUAUUACUUUUGGAUGAUUUUGAUGCAAAAAUAAAGAAUGAAAUGCAUGAAAGUCCUAGUGCACCAACAACCUUACAAAGAGAUCUUAUGAAGCUUUGGUCUUAAAAAAAUUUUCUCUUUGAGGUGAUCUUCUUCUUCAUGAUUUCUCCUUGGCUUGAUUUGUCUUUAUGAUUGCCACUUUGGAAAUCAUUUUGCCUAAUCACACUUGAAAUAUGACCAUUAGUUUUAAACCUUGUUUUGUUAUCAUCAAAAUCAAGAUUAACCAAACUUUGGUUUCACACACACACACACACACACACACACAUAUAUAUAUAUAUAUAUAUCAAACUAUAAUUAUAUAAUUUUUUUAAAUGUAUAAAUCCAUUUUAUUUUUUUAUUAUCUUAAAAUUUUUAUUUUUAAAUAUAGAAAUGUAUUUUUGUUAAAAAAUUAUAUUUCAUAUUUUUGUUCCAUUAUUACUUUUAUUCCUUCUUUUUUGUUUGAUUUUUGCAUGUUAUGUUGUCCAUUUUUCAUUUUUAUUUCUUUCAUUUUUUUUAUUUGGAAAAAAAUAAAUAAAAUAUAAUUAAUAGUGACAAAUGAAAAUAAAAAAAGAAAUGUUGAAAAAUAAAAAUAAAAUUGGUCAUUUUCGUGCAUUUUAUUUUAUUUGUGUGUUUUGAUUAUUCUCCUUUUUAAACAAUUGCAUAAAAGAAAAAAAAAUGAAAAUGAUUGUAGGUGAUUUUCUUGAGGAAAGUAUUCGAAAGUUGAUGUAUAAUGUCAAAGAAGAGUCUUCGUUGUAGGUGGGACGAGAGAGAAAGCUACUUUGAAUUUUGAAACUUUACCAUCUAAAAUCAAAACAAAAUCAAGUGCAAUUUAUGCAAUUUUGUAGGAAAUUAUUAUUAUUAUUAUAAUGGUAUAACAAGUUUAAUAUAAAAAAUAAAAAAAUUGUAGUAUAAAAAUAUUAUAAUAAAAUAAAUAAAUUUAUUUUUAAAAAUAUGAAAAUUAAUAUAAAAAUAUUAGGGAAAAAUUAUGUGUACACAUAAAAAAAUAAAAAAUAAAAAUUGAUGGAUUAAAUUACUAUUGAAAUUAUAAUCCGACUUAAAGUCAAAUUAGAAGAAUUUUAUGAAAUGUCAUAUCAAAACUAAAAUACUAAAAAAUGUGCAGAAUCAAAAGAAAAUUAUAAUUUUGUUCGUGAAAUUAUGACUAUAAACAAUAACUCAAUUCAUUUUCAACUCCAGUAAAAAAUUUGAUAAGUUGUGUAUAUGCAUGUCUUGUUUAAAUCUCAAUAUCUAUAAGAUCUAGUGAAUAAUAGUGUGGACUCCGCAUUUUGCACGAUGUGUUCUCACUCAAUAGCGUGACUUGCUUUUCGUUUAUUUGUGAAAAAUUAUGAUUUUUAGAAAAUACUUGGAGUCGCCACUUAUUUUUGUUUUAUUUUUUUAAGGGAAAACAAAGUAAGAAAAAAACUCUAAGUGUGACUCUUUAUUUAGAAAAAACGGUUUGUGAAAAACCAAACCUGGGUUUGGGGGGUUAGGUUACUUAUUGAGAAGGUAGGGUAAAGACCGUAGCACCCCUCUAAACCCCUAAAAAUGGGUCUCUACUAAAUAAGGUGAGUCAAACCUGACAAUUAACUAGGAGAUCAAUGGAUACUAAAAUGAUCAUAGGUCAAAAGCAAGUCAUGAUAAUGAAUAAAUAAAAAAAGUGAGAGUGAGAACGUACCUUGACAGUAGGUAAUAAAGCGUUAUCAUGGAAACAAGGUUAGCUUAAGUAUAAAUUUAUUACACGCAUAUCAAAGAUCAAGACAAAAAUCAAGCAAUAUUCGUUAAGCAUAACAUUUGACAAUCAGAAGAGAAAACUCAUAUGUGGGACCCCCACCAAAGCCCAAUUUAUCUUGCACGAAUUAGUCUCACAAAUUUCAUUAUUUUGGAAUUAUGAAAAAUUCAUUUUUGCUUAUUUAAAAUAAAGAUAAACAAAAAAUUAUUUGAUAAUUGAAGAAAAUUUGUACAUGUGCAUACCAAAAUGAGAAUGGUAGCAGACUCAUUAAAAUCAGGAUUUUUGGCAACCUAAAACCCUAAUAAAUGAUGAAAAGUUGUAGAAAUUAAAAAAUAUUUGAAAAUUGGAGUGGAAUUAAAAUUGUUCAAGAGAAAACUAGAGUUUUGAAAAUUGAAGUCUAAAAAAUUAUUUGAGAAUUGGAGUUUUGAAAAUUAAAUUUAAGAAUUUAAAUUUUUAGAAAUUAAAUUUGAAAGAAAUUUGAAAUUUGAAAAUUAUUUGAGAAUUGGAGUUUUCAAAAAUUAAAUUUAAGAAUUGGAAUUUUGGAAAUUAAAUUUUGAAAGAAAUUGGAAUUUUGAAAAUUAUUUGAGAAUUGGAGUUUUGAAAAUUAAAUUUAGGAAUUGGAGUUUUGGAAAUUAAAUUUGAAAGAAAUUGGAGUUUUAAAAAUUAAUUGAGAAUUGAAGUUUUGAAAAUUAGUUUUAAGAAUUGGAAUUUUGGAAAUUAAAUUUGAAAGAAAUUGGAAUUUUGAAAAUUAUUUGAAAAUUGAAGUUUUGAAAAUUAAAUUUAAGAAUUUGAAUUAAAUUUGAAAGAAAUUGGAAUUUUGAAAAUUAUUUGAGAAUUGAAGUUUUGAAAAUUAAAUUUAGGAAUUGGAGUUUUCGAAAUUAAAUUUGAAAGAAACUGGAGUUUUGAAAAUUAAUCGAGAAUUGGAGUUUUGAAAAUUAGUUUUAAGAAUUGGAAUUUUGAAAAAUUAUUUGAAAACAAAAGUUUUGAAAAUCAGAAUUUCGAAAAAUUAUUUGAGAAUGGAAUUUUUAAAAGAUCAAUUUUUUAACAUAAAAAGAUGGAUUAGGAGGGUGACACGUCAAACAUUGGAUAGCAGCCCUCUAGAGUGGAAUCCCAAGGUUCUCCUCAAAAAAUACCUCAAUGCCUAAAUGGCUAAGCAUCUGUCUAAAAAAAAAAAGUAGCAAUAGUAGGUUUUCCAUUUGUUCCAGUCACUACUAAUAUCUUAAUACUUCUUGGAAGAAUUUCUGCAGCAAAAUCCAACUCAGACAGUAUUCUCUUCCCUGAUUGCAACAAGAAGGAAAGUCCAUGACUUUCCAAGGGAACUCUUAGUGAAACAACUACCAUUUCGGCAUCCUUGAGAAGCUUUGUGUCAAAAUGUCCAAGAACGAUUUUCAAAUGACCAUGCUUUUCAAACAGGAGAUCGAGCUCUAGCGAGAGCAAGCUUUGUUGCAGCUCUACCAGAUUUUCCCAACAAGAAAACAGGAAGCUCUCAACCAAACCCAAAUUCACGAAAGAGAAUCAAACCAUAUGGGAAACAUCCGGAUCGGCGCGGUAGCUACAGUCUUGUAACAAAUCUCACUUGGGGUCUAGAGAUUCAUGCUACCUCAAGCUUUUUCUUAUCAGCCUCAUCAUCCCAUGGUUUCACAUCCUAGUGUACAAUCGCAUACCCAAGAAUGCACAAACACAAGGAGUAGGGAGAAAACAACAAAAACAUAGCACAAAUGAAGAAAAUAAUAUGAACCAUCAAAAGCCACACUUCAUGUCUUAGUCAGUGGACUUAAAGAUAGGUGGAUUAAAAGGAUUUCUAAAUGUCACAAAAGAGAUAAAAAUUAGUUGGACCAAUUUUUGAACACAAAUUGGAGGAACAAAGGAGCCAUUAACUAUGAAAAAAAAAAUAAAGAUUGGUCGUAUUGGAGAAAGACAACAUUUGGUAUUGCAGAAGAGAGACAACAUUGUGUCACAUGAUGCAUGCACAAAUGACCCUUCCCAUGGGCUUAUAUUGGAGGUGGGAAGCUUCUGAAAACUCCUUAAGCCAUCUAUACUAAGCUAUUGGUGGGAAGAGUGUGGAAGCUUCUUAAAAAGCCUAGGGAUGUCCACAUAUCUCUACAUUAUGGUGGAAGGCAUGAGAAAAGUCUAAGACUUUCUAGAGAGCUCUAGAGGUCUCUUGUAUAUUCUUGUAUGUAAGCUUGUACAUAGAAUUAUAUAGGGUGUUCUAGAAUAUCCAUGAGUUGUAAGGAACCCUCUAAGGUUCUAGAGAGUUCCAUUGGUGUUUAUAAAUAAGUGAGGGUCUCAUUUGGCCAAGGCACCAAGCAAGUGAGUUUCCAAGCAUUAUAUAGCUUUCUUUGAAAGCAGUAAAACUUCUAUUAUUUAAGUGUUGCCUACUACGCCCUCUAAAGUUUUUAAGUUGGGUGCGUCUUAGCGUAGCAAGCUAAGUAUUAGGAGUAAUGUUAACUUAUCAAGAUCAAGGGUCUUGACUUGUCUAAGUGUCGCACAAGCUUAGGAAAAGACUAAGUUUAUGACAGUUGGCAAUAGGUUGUGGAUAAGUGGUGGUGGUGAUGUGGAGAAAGUGAAGGAAACAUAGAAAAAUAAAGACGGGAAAGGAAAAGAGAGAGAAAAAAAGACUACUAGGUAGGGGAAGCUAUGAGCGGUGGCCAACGACGACACUAAUGGAUAAUGUCGUCAAUAGUGGCGGUAGAUUCGAUGGAAGCGGUAGAUUCGGUGGGAAGUGAGAGGUGACGGGGAAUUGAACUUUGGUUCUCCUCCCAUUGCAAUCACCAUCAUUCUCAUUUUCCGCUUAGGAUCAAUGUGCCCCCUCUAAACAACAUUGACAACCCCGUCAUCUUUUUCAUUUCUAGUGUUGUUUUCUAUAAUUGGAACUAGGUUUUCAAAAACAUCAACUAUCUUUGGAGGAGUAGUACUAGUAUUGUGAAUGAUUGAAACUGUGAUUUCAAAAUUAGGUUGGGUUCCAACAUAGAGGUAAUAGAGGUUGUUAAGCCUUUAGGAAGACAUGCACAAGUGAACAAUGUUCUUAGAGAUUAUAAUGGUGGAAGAAGGCCAUAAGAAGACAAGAAAAGAAAAGGGAAAAGAGAAAAGGACUCUCUUUCACGCCACCUACCCAUUUUCAGUGUUGACACCUUUCUCCCAUUGGCAUCAUCCUCUCCAAUCGUCACCUACCAAUCAUCACCACAUCUCUUACUUUCAUGACAAUUUUUUUUAAGAUAAUUUUGGAACAAAUUCAAAAACAUUGUUAGAGUGCAUGCAUUAUUAAAUUUUUUUCUCCACUUUAUACUUAAAAUGAAAAGAUAAAAGCAAAAUUCCAUAAACCUUAUAGCUCGUUUAACCAUAUAACUUAAAAACAAUUUUUUUAACACUUUCAAUUGUGGUUGUUCAUUAUUCUCAAAAAAAAAUAAAAAAUAAAAUAAAACUAGAUUGAAAAAAAAAUCAGGAAACAACCUCAUUGAUUUAAAUUAUUAUUUAAUUACUCCCAUAAUCGUAUGAUUAUUCUUAUGUUUUUGUUAUGUUAUAUUAACAAGUGAAUACUAUGUUGUUAAUUCUGGAUAUCCUUGUACUAUAGGUUUUCUUCCUCCAUAUUGAGGUAAAAGGUAUUAUUUGUAAGAUUAUCCUAGCAGAAGUUGUUAAUCGAAGACUAAUAAAGAAUUGUUCAAUUAUAGGCAUUCUCGUUUAUAAAUAUAAUUGAGUAUUGUUUUGUGUGUUAAAAGCACAUUUUUCAGUUUUAAAAAUGAUGUCAUCUUACAAACCAAGUAGACAACUAUAAAUAGUUGUAGCUUGUUGUACUCUUUAUAAUUUCAUUCAUAAAUAGACUUAAAAUGAUGUUAUGUUUAGACAAUGGGAAGAAGAACUUGAAUUUGAAGAUAAGGACGAUACUACAAUUGAAGUAAGUUAUGCAAUGACUUUAUCAGAUGAAACAACAACGACUAUGAUAGCUUAUCGAGAUCGUAUUUCAUAGUAGAAAUGGAAUGCUUAUGUUAAUAGUUUGUAAACAUUAGUCAUUAAAUAGUUAUAUUAAUAUACGAAGUAAGGAUGUGAAAUAUGAAAAUUGUUUAACUAUUAUAAUUGACUUGAAGUAUUUUGUGUGUACUUGGUUUGCAAUUGUUUUUGUUUCAAUUUAUUUUAUUUUAUUUGUUUUUCCUAUUAAAAAAAUCAAUCCAACUAUUUAUUUUACUCUCAUUAAAAAAUGACUAUUAAAAUUAUUUUUAAUCUUAUAGUAAUUUUUGUUUUAUUUGAAUAAAAAAAAUUGUUUAAUAAUUAAAACAAUUAUUUAUCUAUAAUUUAUAUAUAAUUUGAAUUUUAUUUAUUUAUUUUUAGUGAGAUUUAACUUGAAUGUGAUUUAUAUUAAUGUAAAUUAAAUUUUAAAAAUAAAAAUAGAAAAAUUGUUUUUAAAACCAAAGUCGAUUCUUUUAUACAAACAAGUUUUUGUUUUUUAUCUUUAAAAAUUAUUUUUGAAAACAAUUGGCCAAACAAUUUUUCUUUUUAAAAAAUACUAAAAAUGCCAUUUUUUAUUCUUUAUCUUAAAAAUAAUUUUUUAAAUUAAAAAACACAAUCAAACACCUUAUUUUGUUUUUAUUUUUGGUGUCUGGUUGCAUAAUUUUCCCAUUUUUUAAAACUGAAUUUCAAGCAAGCUCUUAAUUAUGUAAUUAAAAACUUGUUUGGUAGUAAUUUUAAGAAGCGAUUAUAAUAUUCCUAACACUUAAAAAAAAAAUUAUUUUUCAAGUAUACAACGUAGAAAUACUUGUGAGGAUCACUGCUACACAUGCUCUAUGUAGACAUAUCCCACUUCUAAGUUCUAACUCUUCAACGUCUGAACUCUUUUGAUGAAAUCCACACUCAAACCACCCAAAUCCAAGUCCCAAAUGCAGCCACUGCUUCAUCCAGGUCUGCUUCAUUCUCAUUUCAUCACUUCCUUUUUCUAUUAAUUAUUUUAUGAUUGUCCUUUUUGUUUCUUUUGUAUGAAUCCUAAGUGUCUUAUUGUUUUCCAUGGGCAGAAAAUACUUCCAUGAGAAAUUCUUCCCCAGAAAAUUUCCCCAACCUUGUCUGGUAAUAUACCCAUGUUUUUUUCCUAAUCUUUUGCGUCAAGCUUGGAAACUUCUGCUUCUGUCUUGUGCCCCUUAUGAUGGGUUUUGGAGUCAAAAUAAGAGACGUAAUGAUGAAUUCCAGAUAAUCCAUAUCUUAAAGUGAGAAAAUAUUCAAAAAAGAAUUUGUUGUGUUGAGAGGGAUUGCUUGAGAAGUUCAGGAUUAGGGAAUUAUUUUAUCUCAGUAUGGUUUAGAAUUCCAGUUUGGCAAAUUCAGGAUUCAGGACUGGCUUUGGGCUCAAAAUGAUUUGGGGUUUCUACUCAGAAACAUCCAAAAUUGAACUAUUUGACAAAUUUGGGGUGUGGGAGCUGUUCCUUUGUGGGAUAUUUGUGAAUGAUUAUGGAAUUGCUGAACUGUAUUACAUAAAUUCAAAUUUUAUUUGCUUGAUGGGGAAUUGGCCUGGGAAAAGAUAGCUGAUCACAUUAUCCCACCUUUGAUAUCAGCUGUUGCUUUGAUUCUCAAACUUUUAAAUGGAGAAAUGACUGUUGUAGAGAAGAAUAAAGGGAUAAGGUUUUGUUUGGUGGACUUGUUUUCCAUGUUUCUUCUCCUCUAAAGGUUAGGGGUGAAAGCAACUUAUAGUUGAUGGUUGUCUUCAGAAAUAAGCUGAUCAUAUCAUAGCUGACCGAUUUCUUCUUUGGCCAUCUUGAAGCAAUUUUAGUAUUUAUUUUAUAAGCUGAUUUUGGUGUCCAAGAAAUUAUUCUUAACAUAAUUAUUUUUUUUUUAAAAUAUCAAUUAUAUUUGAUUGGUAUUAUCAAUUAUGCUUUGCGGACCAAGCAUGACUCAUCUUAUUUGGGCCUCCCACUACUUUAAUCCUACACAGAUGACACAUUUUUAUUAAGAUCCAGAUCCUAUUAUCAUGGACUGGGCAAUGGAGGCUCAGAUCCGGCCGUAAUCAGACAAGCUGCUGGGCCGCCAUGGCUGCAACUACGGUUGCCUGUAAAAUGAAACCCAUUUCACAGAUCAUCCGGGUUGCCCCACCAAGAAACGAGCCCUUCAUAAUCUCUGAUUUACUUGAAAAGUAUCAUCAUAUCCCCUCGAUUUUCUCAUUGGGAACCAAACAGAUCGAGGACCCUUUGAAGGACCCUAAAUACAUCCAACCAAACAAUCAUAAAUAAAUAAAUAAAGAUGGACAUCACGGGUCCAGGGAGGGCUCAGAUCCGCCUGUAAUCAGACAAGAUCCAUGUUCGCCAUGGCUGCAACUACAGUUGCAUGUGAAAAAAAGGGCAUAGAAACCCAUUUCACACAGUCCGGGUCGCCCUUGGAAAGUGUCAUCACAGCCACUUAAUUUUCCUGCACAUUUUCUCAGCAACCAAAUAGAUACAGAUCCUUCUCAGAAAACACAUUUUAAAACACAAACAAAUAAACCAAAACAAAACAAAGACCAGACUCAGCGCGGAAGUGCAUAGCGCGUAAAAGGAAGGCUCAGAUUCGCCUUUUAUCAGACAAGAAAAAGAUGACCGUCCUGGCUGCAACCACAGUUGCUUGUGAAACAAGGCACAAAAGGUCGCCCAAACCAUCCGGGUUGCCCCGCCAAGAAACGGACAUUCCCAGUGCCUGACUUACUCUGAAAACGUCAUCACAGCCUUUUAUGUUGCCCAUAUGAACAGAGAGAGAGCGCUGUUGAUUUUCCAGAGAAUCAAGACAGCCUCUGAUGUACAUGUACACACGUGUAUGAGAAGCCCUUUUCUGAAGUUCCCAAUAUUUCCUACCAGUCCAGCCCGCGCACAGGAUACAAAUUUUUUUUAAAACAUAUGAUGUUAUUUGGUAAUCUGAUCAUGAUUUGCAGGCAAAGGUCGUGUUUUCCAGCCUGGCUCAAAAAUCGUGGAUUUAGGGUUCGUGAAAUUUAAAUCCAAUAGCACAAAAGCAAAGAGACCCCUAGAACAGAUCCAGAAAACACAGGGAGCAAAGAAAAAAACAAUUUUUUUGGUUUUCGUGGGGGGUUUUGCAUGGAUUUUCUCGGAAAUCAAACGAGGAUGAAUUUUCCCGGAAAUCGAAAGGGGGAUGGAUUUUCUUGAGAAUCAAACGGGGGUUGCAAAAAAAUAAUAAUAAUAACAUGAUUAGAUUAGUACCUGCGAGGAUUGAGAGUGGCAGAGGAAAAUAGGGCCUUUUUAGGGAUUCUCUCGUCCGGAGGGCAACUUCAGAAAAGGACUUCUUGAUGCCCGAGUGAGAGAAGUGGAUGGCCCUUUCGAUUUUUAUAUUUAGUAGAGAGAGAAAACAAGGGAAACAAAUCAUGAGAACAAUUUCGCCAUGGCUGCAACUACAGUUGCACGUGAAAAAAGGGCAUAGAAACCCAUUUCACAGACAAUCCGGGUCGCCCAGCCAAGACAUGGGUCCUUUCAAAUAUCUGAUUUACUUGGAAAGUGUCAUCACAGCCACUUAAAUUUCCUGCACAUUUUCUCAGCAACCAAACAGAUACAAUAUCCUUCUCAGAAAACACAUUUUAAAACACAAACAAAAAAACCAAAACAAAACAAAGACCAGACUCAGCACGGAAGUGAAUAGCGCGUAAAAGGAAGGCUCAGAUUCGCCUUUUAUCAGACAAGAAAAGGAUGACCGUCAUGGCUGCAACCACAGUUGCUUGUGAAACAAGGCACAAAAGGUCCCAUCGCACAAACCAUCCGGGUUGCCCCGCCAAGAAACGGACAUUCCCAGUGCCUGACUUACUCUGAAAACGUCAUCACAGCCUUUUAUGUUGCCCACAUGAAGAGAGAGAGAGCGCUGUUGAUUUUCCAGAGAAUCAAGACAGCCUCUGAUAUAUAUGUAUAUAUAUAUAUAUAUACACACAUGUGUAUGAAAAGAAAGAAAAGAAAGAGCGAAGGAAAAGGGCAGUUGAUGGGCGUAGUAGAAGGAAUCAUCGGCUCCGACGACCAUGAGAUUCAGAGAGGGGCAACCACCCUUAGAAACUCCCCAUCCCUCCGAGACAGUCACAGGAGCCUCAGUCUUAAACUAAUGAGGUUGAGCCCUAACUUUUACUCAUCCUUCCCCUUUUAUAGUACUCCCUGUCUUCUUCUUUGCUUUUAUUUUAUUUUUUUGACCUUUCUACCCUCACUAAUCCCUGUGUCGAAUUUGGGGGAAAUUUCCCGAUAUUUCCUACCAGUCCAGCCCGCGCACAGGAUACAAAAUCUGUGCAAUUUUUUUUAAAAAAAACAUAAGAUGUUAUUUGGUAAUCUGAUCAUGAUUUGCAGGCAAAGGUUGUGGUUUUCAGCCUGGCUCAAAAAUCGUGGAUUUAGGGUUCGUGAAAUUUAAAUCCAAUGGCACAAAAGCAAAGAGACCCCUAGAACAGAUCCAGAAAACACAGGGAGCAAAAAAAAUAAAGCAAUUUUUUUGGUUUUCCUUUGGUGGUUUUGCGUGGAUUUUCUCGGAAAUCAAACGAGGAUGAAUUUUCCCGGAAAUCGAAUGGGGGAUGGAUUUUCUUGGGAAUCAAACGGGGGUUGCAAAAAAAAAUAAUGUACCUGCGAGGAAAAUAGGGCCUUUUUAGGGAUUCUGGAGGACAACUUCAGAAAAGCGGAUGUUCGAUUUUUAUAUUUAGUAGAGAGAGAAAACAAGGGAAACAAAUCAUGAGAACAAUUUUCCUCUCUCCGUAUAAAUAAUUAUUAAUUAUCCAUCUUUAUUUUGAUUAAAUCACUACCAAAAUUUCGAUUUUUAUCGGUAAUAUUUUAUAAAUUAAAAUUAAUUUAAUAAGAUAAAUUAUUAAUAAUUUUAAUGAUUUAAAUAAAUUAAUAUUAAUAAAAAAAGUUAUUACCACAUAUUUUUAAUAAAAUCUUAGAAAUUAAAUAUCAAAUAAAAUAUUUUAUAUAAAUUAAUUUAAUUUUUCAUUUAAAAUGUAAUAAAACAUAUUUUAAUAAAAAUAUUUUAAAAAAAUAUUGUCAUGGACUCAAUUCUUCUAAUAAUAUGAUGAAACCACAUCGAUCUUUAUUUUGAUACUAAAGACUAUUGCAAUGUCAUAUGCAUUUGUAAACCUCAAAAUUUGUCUUAUUUUUAUUUUACAUUAAUUUUGAGCUCAAUUUUGUUCUUAGAUUUUAAAACCCGAUUACAUUUUAUUUUAUUGGCUCAUUUAUACAUUUUAAGUCUUAAUUCUUAUUAUUUCGUUUAUUUUAUCUUAUUUUUCCUUUCUUUUUAUUUUAUUUUAUUUUUUUCUCUUUCCUUAUUUUCCCUCAUUCUCCUCCCAAUUCCCACUUUCUCUCUUCUCUCUCCUAUCUCCUAUACUAAGGAUGAAAAUAUCGGUAAUCACGAAUAUAUCGGUACUUCGAUUUUACGGAUAUAUCGUAUCGGCGGAUAUUUUGGAAAAAAAUAUCGGUAACCUUAAAAUUGUUAAAAACUUAUGAAAAUAUAAGAAAAACCUCAUAAUAAUAUAAUUAAAAGUAUAAUAGACAUUUUAAAGUUAUUUUAUUGAAAAUUUUUAUAUAUGUAUAACAUAAUUUAUCAUAUUUGAUAAUAAUAUCGUAUGCAUCGAUAAAAAUAUGAAUUUUAUAAGUGUACAUUUAUUAUUAAAUUACAUAUAAUAUUAUGAUAUUUGAUUAUAAUAUGUCUAAUUUUAAAAUAUAUAUUAAUAUUAAAAUAUGAUCCAUUUAAUUCAAUUGUAUUAAACAAUAUAAAAUAAAUUAUGAUAUAUAUAUAUAAAUUUUUAAUAUUUAAUUAAUUAUUAAUGAUAUUAAAAACAUUAUGAAGAAAAUUAUAUAAUUUUUAUACUUUUUGAUAAUUAAUUAAAAGAAAAUUUUGUAUUUAAUUAUAAAAUAAUUAUAAUUAAUUUGCUAUUUAAAAUAUUCUUUUAACAUUUUCUUUAUAUAAUGACUUUAAGUAUAUAUAUGUUUGGUGCACUUUAUAUUACAAGGGCAAGUUAGCCGCAAAUGGAGUGAACCAAAAGGUUUGGGGUUCAGAUCCCCUCAGAAGCAAUUUCAAGCAAAUAUCGUUGGAUCGUGUCGAUACCCUUCGAUACACAUAUAUCGUCGAAAUAUCGCGACAUUUUCCUCCUUGCCUAUACCUACCUCCAUACCCUUUGCCAUACCCCCACGUUCAAGACCCAUACUCUGGCUCUUGAUUGAUAUUAAUUUUUUAUUUUUUUUUCCCAGGCCGGACUGCAUUUGUUGGGCCCUUUCUCCAUUUUUAUUUUUUCUUUUUUUUGGGGGAAAAAGGCAACUCCCCCCAACUCUCACAAGGUUCCCGACUGUUUCUUCUUUGGGCUCAUCAAUGGCGGGAGAAGAGCGAUUGAGCUUAAGUUUAGACUUGCUGAUGGCACCGACAUCGGUCCAAACAAGUAUAAUCCAACUACCUCUGUGGGAUCUCUCAAAGAAAAGAUACUUACACAAUGGCCUAAAGGUUGCAAAUCCUUUUUACCCUUUUAAUCCCCUGCUUCAUGGAUCUUGAUAUGUUGGCUUCUUUUAGAUUAUUGUCCUAUUUGUUUCCUUCUAUGCAUGUUUUCCAUGAUUUUCUUUUAUUGAUUUGGCUCAACAUUUACACCUCCGUAUUUAAAGAAUCAUGCCUUCUCUUUUUUAGAUUGUGUGUUAGAUGGGUUUUCUUGAGAAUUUUUUUUUUCUUCUUCUAUGAGAAUGUUUGUUUCAACAGAAAAAUACUUUGUGGAUAUAUUUUCUGGAAAAAAAAAAAACAGAGAAUAAGAUUCAUAAAUUAAGGCUUUAUUUUUUAUUAUACUGAGCAUCAUGGAGCUAGGGUGUAGACCCCCUCCCGGGGAGGAGGAGUUUUAGGCCAUUUUAUUUUUUGCUAUCAUAAUGACUUUUUUGACCACCCCGGGAUUUCAGCUGAAGGAGGUGGCCAGAUUAGAUGGGAAAAAACAGAAGAGGAGAGAAAGAGGAAAAGGAGGGCUUGCUGAGGAAGACAAAAACAGGGGAGAAGAGAGGGAAGAAAAGGGAGUUCUGGGUGAGAGUUUUAGCUGGGGUCUGGGAAGGGGAAAAAACACGCUGGGAAACACCUUGCAGGAGGGCGAUACAGGUAUUCUUCCUGUUGGCUGAGGAUCUUUUUGUGUUCAUCACAUUCUAUUAUGCUUUCUAGCUAGCAUGAGAUGCUAUCUCAGUUCUUAGAGGCGAGCAGCUAAUACUUUUUUUAGUAUCUAAUUUUGCUCACUCAUAUUCUGCAUCUGAUUUUCUGACUUAUCCUUUAGACUCUGUUCUGCGUUUUUUUCUUUUUUUGUGAGUUGUUAGUCAUGCCCAUCUGGUUUUCUCUUAGAAAUCUGUUUGAAAUACAUUUUGACACACCUCCUACAUGUGAGCCCAUGGAUCGUUAUACGAAAUGAUGCGUGUAAAGGGUCAUUUUGUGUCUAUUGCUUGUGCUCUGUUUUUGCUGUUCUCCCUUUGUCAUUGGUGCUCGGCCAUAGAGGGGAUCAGACUUUCCAUCUCAGCUUGAAGGAGUAAGAGGACCCAGGAGAUAUGCUCCCUAUCUGUGAGUACUAGAAAGGCCAUGGCUACGCUCCACUCAUUUCAUCUGUAAAUGAGACAUCUAGCUUGUUUUGUACUGGUGACUCAAAUCUAUCCAUUGAGGUGGCAUUCUUCCGUCAACUAAACUUGAAACCCUUUUAAGAGAGACAAACCAUGUCAUUAGCUGUGGAUAUGAAGACAAGACUGAUUAGGCAAGGAGAUUGGAGGAGUUCAUGGUUCAGUGAUAGAAGGUAUUUUGACCGUGUUCAAGAUGUAUGCACGAGGUUGGAUUUCAAUGUAUGGCUAUAAUGGGAGGUUCAUUACGCCAAUGCCAUUGCUCAUCCCCCUCAUACCCAUGUCAGCCACUUUCUACACCCUCUCACCAUCAUUUCUCUCACUAAACCAUACCUCAUACCCAUUAAAUCUUUCAUGCCUUUACCCAUAUUUCCAUUACGCCCAUGCUUACCACAUAUCCACCAUGGCCACGUCCUCACUCACUCCUCCUUACACCCAUAUCUCACCUCCCAUGUGUGUCAUCAUCCUUCUUAGUCCCAUACCCGUAUACCCACUACCCAAAUACCCCACUUAUCCAUCUCUUACCUGUUUCUCUCUCUAUAUUAUCACCAUACCCAUACCAUGCUCGUCCUUAUUAGCCAAGACCACCUUGCAUACCCACAAAGUUCAUCACCUAUUGCUCUCCACGCCAAACAUCUUCCAUUUCAUCAAUCACCGAAAACCCUUUUUCUCACUGUUUUAAUGUUCCUUUCUUACCAAUCCUCUUGCCAUCUCACCCACGUCUACGUUACCCAUGCACGCCUGGCUGCCCAGGUUGUUGUGAGUCUCCUCUAAGGUCCCGAAUCUACCUAGCCUUCAUAGUGGCAGCAGGAGCAUAAUAAAAAAAUAAAAAAAAGGAAAGAAGAAUGUAUUGCAUGGUAGGCAUGAAACCAUUUAAAUAAUUGGUGAAUUAAAAGUCAAAGAUAUGAGUUUUUUUUAUAUUAUUUUUUAUUCUUAAUCAGUGGCAUGGUUCCAGCAGGCUUCAAGAUGGUUUUUUUUAUUAUUUUUUUCUCUUUUCUCCCACGUGUCAUCUUCUUAAUUCCACUUUACAUGUUAAAUUUUUUUUUUUAAAGUCCUAUUAUCAAAUAAUUCUUUUAAAAUCCCAACGUUUCAAAUUCAUUCAUUUAUUUUAUCUAUUUUAUUCAUUUAUUUUUUAUUUGUCUAUUUAUUUAUUUAUUUAAAAAUCUCAAUCAUUAAAAUUCAAUUUUUCAAAAAUCCGACUUCCAAAUCUAAUUUUUAAUCUAAAAAAUUCUAGUAUUCACGUUCACUCGUUUAAAUAUUAUUUCGUUAUUAUUAUCAUUAUUUCAUUUAUUUAUUUGUUUAUUUCCUUUAAAAAUUCCAAUCAUUAAAGUUUAAUUUUUCAAAAUUCCAAUUUCUUUCAAAUUUAAUUUCUAAAAAUCCGAAUUCCAAACAAACUCUAAAACCCCAAAUUUCUAGUGAUUUUCGAGAUUCCAAUUUUUCAAUUAAAUUUCAAAAAUCUAAUUUUCUUCGGAAUAGUUUUAAUUCCGCUCUGGCUUUCAAAUAAUCUUCUGCUCCUCUUGACUUUAAUAAGCAGGAACAAAUUUUUUGUAAUUCCAAAUAAUGGAAUUUAUGGGAUUAAUUCAUGCAAUAUAAAUCGGGCUUUGGUGGGGGCCCAACAUACGUGAUUUUAUGAUUGAUUGAUUUGUUUGUUAUGCGCGAUUUAUUUAUCCUGCUUUCCGACAUGCAUGCUAUUAUUUCUUAAUUGUGCACUAACCUCUCUCUUGAUAGCACAUGGUGGCUCGUCGCCUAGGUACGCACCUACUUUCACUCUGGUAAUUGUCCAAGCAUAUUUUGAUUCUCACGUGUGCAUGAUUUAUUCUGGGUACUUAUUGAUCUACUCGUCCACUGCCAUGAUUGCUUCAUUUUAUUAGUAGAGACUUGUUUUUAGGGACUUAGAAGGGUGCUAUGGUUUUUAUCGUACCUUCCUGAUAAGUAACCUAACCCCCGAACCCGAUUCGGUUUAUCACAGACCACCUUUUCCAAAGUAAGGAGUCACACUUAGGGUUUUUCUUUCUUAUUUUGUUUACUCUUUUAAAAAUAAAACAAAAAUAAGUGGCGACUCCAAGUCAUUUUAUAAUCAAUAAAAUCAAAUUUUCAAAUAAAAAUCGAGUUCGCCAUCGAGUGGGAAACGCAUGAGUCGAAAAAAUACGGGGUCCACAUAGUGGCGACUCCACUGGGGAUAUUUAGAGGGUCAAGCUUGAACUUAGGAUGAAGCAAACGUGACAUUUGAUGAGUCGAUCAGUGGGUACCUAUUUCUUGAUUGCACAUUGAGAGUUGCCGAUAUCAUUGGAUGCAUGCUUGGUUAUUAUACUCAUUUGAGAUUUUUGACAUGCUGGAUUAUUGAUGAUUGAAUCUUAUUGCAUUGUUUAGCGUAUUAAUUCUAAUUUUGGCAUGAUUGUUCUGAUCACUUCACAUGCGUACACUCACCACUGUAUAUCACUCUGCUUGACAUGUUGAUUUUCUUACUUGUAUACUAAUUUUGAUCGUCUUUGAGCAUGAUUUUUGUAUUACUAUUCAUCUUGAUUGUUGUAUUCUCGCUUAUCUUGUGUGUACAUGAUGAUAUAUCUGAGCUUUGCCUGAUUGUGUGUCGCAUGACUGCCCUCCUUUUGCAUGACUGUGUGCCGCUUGUUUAUGUGGGUCGCACAUCUAUCUCCUUAUCUCCCAUCCUCUGGUCUCGGUCAUUCCUUUCAUCUCGGUUCUCACUAUUGCAAGUGUGAGACAUUCUAUGUGCUUGCUCUCUGACCGAGCCAGAGAUUAGGAGUAGGGUCUAGCGACGGGCUAUAUCGAUGCACGGGAGCAUUCUGAAGGAGAGCGACACUUUGAUGUCGAUUGGAGUCCGAUCAUUGAAGACCUGUAUAGCCCCGAGCUAGGUUUCAUGGAUAGUCGUGCGACCAGUGUGUUUCCUCUUCUGCUAUAGAUUCUUAGCGUUUUCAGAUGCACCCACACCAUUCACUGUGCACUUUAGUUGACCAUUGAGCGUUGAGAGUUUGAGAGGUUUCACCAUAGGAAACCCCCUGGGAUGUCGAGGUAGUGCAUGUGUGGAGGUGAUGACCACCUUGCAUGGAAGCACCCCGUCUCUUCGGAGACGUGCAGAGGGUUGCGUACCGCCGGAGGGUAUGAUCGCUUCUGCUAGGGAUCUUUAAAAUCCACCCUCAUCCAUUUAGAACCACCUUGACCUUGUAGGUUGAGCUGUAAAUCCUUUGAUUAGGACUCCCUCCCUACACGUGGGUGCAUCUAAGGGCCUUCAGAGCCUCUUUAGUCAUAGUUUAGAUUUGACACUCCCUCUUUUAGUAUCCAGUUGAGAGUGCUCGGAGAUCAGUAUGAGUCUGAGUAUCGGUUGGAUCACCUUUUGUCAUGUCAUCUUGGAUUAUGUUUUCCACUCGAUGAGUUUAGUAUAUUUUCUCCUAGGGCUUUCGUCUUUCUUUCUUAGUUCGACACAUCCAUUCACUUUGUCGUCACUUGAUGGAUGCUUUGGGAUAUGAUCAUGACCAUCUUUUUACACUGUACACCUAUCACGGGCCCAGUACUUCAUCUUUCGUUUGAUCCUGGAUUCGAUUUUUGACUCGAUGCUCAUAUUUUCAUUACAGAAAGGUGAAAGGCACAUUUUUACAUUCACACAUUUUUCGAGAGAGUCACCUUGACCACCUUAUCAUCUUUAUCUUAUGGAGCUCGAGUUGAAAGUGAAUCAGAGAUAUUGUUGUUGUUGUCGCUUGGCUUUCCUAACCUAAGAGCUAUCGGGUGCCUUCUCGAACUUCAUGCGCCCCAGAGACUGCUCAUCAUACGUGUCAUAGGUGGUGGGGGCCUCAAAAUUUGUCUCUCUACUCAAGUCGACCCCGACAUCCUUGAAAGCACGGGUAAAGAAGCGGUCGUAGGGGAGUACUAGCGUCGAGCUCUCAACACAGGAGAUCAUAUGCAUCAUCAUAAGGUAUCUAACAUGAAUCCGUCUCCCGAUGAGGAUCGAGUCCACAAUGAAAGCCUCGAGGUAGGAGACCUCGUCUCGAUGUCCUCCACGUGGCAAGAGAAUCGAACAGAUCAUAUGGUGAAGGACUCGGCUAGUCAUUGUCAAGCUGUGAACUGAUGUUUUGCCCAUCUCCUAGGGAUCAACAAGUCUUCACAACCUCUGAACAGCCUCUCUAGGCUCAAAUCCUGGCACAGUGGGCCACGCCUUGGCCUCAUAAACACGGAGUCCAAUCGAAGGGAUGUCGAGAAUGCGGCAGAUGCUCUCGGGACUCAAACGGAUCUCAACGCCUCUCAUAGUGGAUAAUACGGGUCCUCCAAGCCCGUAGGUUGCCCGAGAAUAGAAAGCCCGCACCAGAGUCGGGAAGACCGGCUCAGAGAUCGUCACUACGGGCAGCCAUCCCAUCCGUCCGAAUAGCCUCUCAAAGUCAAAGUGCUGAAGUUGAGAGAAGUUGACACUUCUCCCUGGAAUGACUUUUCUCUGGGCAAAUUUCUGCUUGUAGCGUUGAUAGUCUUCAUUCGAACUGAAGAGUGUCGUGUCAAACCUCGCCUUUCGACGAUCCUCCGUCUGCUCGGGCUGAGAUGGCUCAACAGGGUGCUUACCCUGAGCCNNNNNNNNNNNNNNNNNNNNNNNNNNNNNNNNNNNNNNNNNNNNNNNNNNNNNNNNNNNNNNNNNNNNNNNNNNNNNNNNNNNNNNNNNNNNNNNNNNNNAAGCGCGCGGGGGGCGUUUUAAAUUCUCAGCCCUGACGAACCGGUCAACCGAUUCCUCAACCGGUCGAUCGCCUGGUCAACGAUCAACGGUCAAUUUUUCCAAAUUUUCUUGCAUUUUCUUGUCUCAUGAUCCUCUCCCUGCCCUUUUUAGUUGAAAUCCCUAAUUUUUUAUGUCUAAUACCAUGGGAAUUUUGAUUUUUGGUCAAAAUUUGACCUCUUUCCUAUGAUUAUUUCUAUAUGAUGCAUAUGAUAUGAAUUUCACGCAAUCAUAUGAUAUAUUCAAAAGCAAUAUCAACAAGAAUUCAUCAAGCAAUCAUUUGAUCAUAAAGAAAUCACCCCUAGUUGUCUUCUAAUAUCAACAAAUUGCUCUUCACUUAGGGGUUUUAUAAAAAUAUAGGCAAGUUGAUCUUUUGUGUUUACAAAUUCAAGUGUAAUGUCACCCUUUUGUGCAUGGUCUCUAAGAAAAUGAUGUCUUAUCUCCAUAUGCUUAGUCCUAGAGUGUUGUACCGAAUUCUUUGAAAUAUUUAUGGCACUAGUGUUAUCACAUUUUAUAGGAACAUGCUCAAAAAUCAAAUUGAAAUCACCAAGUGUUUGUUUCAUCCAAAGGAUUUGUGCACAACAUAAACCGAUUGCUAUUUAUUCGGCUUCCGCCGUAGACAAGGCUACCGAAUUUUGCUUCUUACUAUGCCAUGAAACAAGUUAAUGUCCUAGGAAAUGACAAGUGUCACUAGUGUUUUUCCUCUCAACUUUACAACCGGCAAAAUCGGCAUCUGAGUAUCCAAUUAAUUCAAAGUUAUNNNNNNNNNNNNNNNNNNNNNNNNNNNNNNNNNNNNNNNNNNNNNNNNNNNNNNNNNNNNNNNNNNNNNNNNNNNNNNNNNNNNNNNNNNNNNNNNNNNNNNNNNNNNNNNNNNNNNNNNNNNNNNNNNNNNNNNNNNNNNNNNNNNNNNNNNNNNNNNNNNNNNNNNNNNNNNNNNNNNNNNNNNNNNNNNNNNNNNNNNNNNNNNNNNNNNNNNNNNNNNNNNNNNNNNNNNNNNNNNNNNNNNNNNNNNNNNNNNNNNNNNNNNNNNNNNNNNNNNNNNNNNNNNNNNNNNNNNNNNNNNNNNNNNNNNNNNNNNNNNNNNNNNNNNNNNNNNNNNNNNNNNNNNNNNNNNNNNNNNNNNNNNNNNUUACUAGCGGUCAAAUAUAGUAAAGAACCUAUCAUGCCUCUAUACAUAGUUGAGUUGACGGGCUUACCUUUCUCAUCCAUGUCAAGCUUGAUGGAUGAACUCAUUGGAGUCUUCAUUGUUUUGGCUUCCUCCAUAUUGAACCUUUUGAGGAGAUCCCUUAUAUACUUGGCUUGAUUGAUGAAGGUUCCUUCCUUUAGUUGCUUGAUUUGAAGUCCAAGGAAAAAGUUAAGUUCUCCCAUCAUGUUCAUUUCGAACUCACUAUGCAUACAUUUUGAGAAUUAUUCACAAAGAGAGACAUUAGUAGCUCCAAAAAUGACAUCAUCAACGUAUAUUUGAACUAAGAGCAUGUCAUUAUCUUUGGUUUUUAUGAAAAGAGUUCUGUCAAUUUUUCCCAUUUUAAAACCCUUUUUCAAAAGAAAUUUACUCAAUCUUUCAUAUCAUGCUCUAGGUGCUUGUUUCAAACCAUAAAGUGCAUUUUUAAGUCUAAAAACAUGAUUAGGAAAGUUAAAACUUUGAAAAUCGGGUGGUUGUUCAGCAUAUACCUCUCCAUUUAUAAAGCCAUUUAAGAAAGCAUUUUUCACAUCCAUUUGAUAUAAAACAAAGUCUUUAAAACAUGCAAAGACAAGUAGCAUCCUAAUGGCUUCCAAUCUAGUUACGGGAGCAAAGGUUUCUUCAUAAUCUAUCCCUUCUUCUUGAUUAAAACCUUGGGCUACCAAUCUUGCUUUAUUCCUUAUAAUUAUGCCAUUUUCAUCCAUUUUGUUUCUAAAGACCCAUCUAGUUCCAAUAACACUUUGAUUUUGAGGUCUUGGCACUAAUUCCCAUACUUCACUUCUUUCAAAUUGGUUUAACUCUUCUUGCAUGGAAAUCAUCCAAUUUUCAUCAACUAGAGCAUCUUUUAUAUUUUUAGGUUCAAUUUGAGAGAUAAAAGCAAGAUUAUUGCAAAUAUUUCUAAGGGAUGAUCUAGUCCUUACUCCACUAGAUGGAUUACCUAUAAUUUGAUCUUGUGGGUGGUUGAUGACAAAUUUCCAAUCUUUAGGUAGGUCUUGGCUUGAUUCACCUUGCACUUGUUGAGGAGGAGGUAGUGCCAAAGGUGAUUCCUCUUUCUUGGGAUCCUCUACAACUUUUUCUUGUUGCCUUCUAUUUUCAGUUUGUAAUUUUCCCAUGGAGGUCUCCNNNNNNNNNNNNNNNNNNNNNNNNNNNNNNNNNNNNNNNNNNNNNNNNNNNNNNNNNNNNNNNNNNNNNNNNNNNNNNNNNNNNNNNNNNNNNNNNNNNNAGUUCAUCACCUAUUGCUCUCCACGCCAAACAUCUUCCAUUUCAUCAAUCACCGAAAACCCUUUUUCUCACUGUUUUAAUGUUCCUUUCUUACCAAUCCUCUUGCCAUCUCACCCACGUCUACGUUACCCAUGCACGCCUGGCUGCCCAGGUUGUUGUGAGUCUCCUCUAAGGUCCCGAAUCUACCUAGCCUUCAUAGUGGCAGCAGGAGCAUAAUAAAAAAAUAAAAAAAAGGAAAGAAGAAUGUAUUGCAUGGUAGGCAUGAAACCAUUUAAAUAAUUGGUGAAUUAAAAGUCAAAGAUAUGAGUUUUUUUUAUAUUAUUUUUUAUUCUUAAUCAGUGGCAUGGUUCCAGCAGGCUUCAAGAUGGUUUUUUUUAUUAUUUUUUUCUCUUUUCUCCCACGUGUCAUCUUCUUAAUUCCACUUUACAUGUUAAAUUUUUUUUUUUAAAGUCCUAUUAUCAAAUAAUUCUUUUAAAAUCCCAACGUUUCAAAUUCAUUCAUUUAUUUUAUCUAUUUUAUUCAUUUAUUUUUUAUUUAUUUAUUUAAAAAUCUCAAUCAUUAAAAUUCAAUUUUUCAAAAAUCCGACUUCCAAAUCUAAUUUUUAAUCUAAAAAAUUCUAGUAUUCACGUUCACUCGUUUAAAUAUUAUUUCGUUAUUAUUAUCAUUAUUUCAUUUAUUUAUUUGUUUAUUUCCUUUAAAAAUUCAAAUCAUUAAAGUUUAAUUUUUCAAAAUUCCAAUUUCUUUCAAAUUUAAUUUCUAAAAAUCCGAAUUCCAAACAAACUCUAAAACCCCAAAUUUCUAGUGAUUUUCGAGAUUCCAAUUUUUCAAUUAAAUUUCAAAAAUCUAAUUUUCUUCGGAAUAGUUUUAAUUCCGCUCUGGCUUUCAAAUAAUCUUCUGCUCCUCUUGACUUUANNNNNNNNNNNNNNNNNNNNNNNNNNNNNNNNNNNNNNNNNNNNNNNNNNNNNNNNNNNNNNNNNNNNNNNNNNNNNNNNNNNNNNNNNNNNNNNNNNNNNNNNNNNNNNNNNNNNNNNNNNNNNNNNNNNNNNNNNNNNNNNNNNNNNNNNNNNNNNNNNNNNNNNNNNNNNNNNNNNNNNNNNNNNNNNNNNNNNNNNNNNNNNNNNNNNNNNNNNNNNNNNNNNNNNNNNNNNNNNNNNNNNNNNNNNNNNNNNNNNNNNNNNNNNNNNNNNNNNNNNNNNNNNNNNNNNNNNNNNNNNNNNNNNNNNNNNNNNNNNNNNNNNNNNNNNNNNNNNNNNNNNNNNNNNNNNNNNNNNNNNNNNNNNNNNNNNNNNNNNNNNNNNNNNNNNNNNNNNNNNNNNNNNNNNNNNNNNNNNNNNNNNNNNNNNNNNNNNNNNNNNNNNNNNNNNNNNNNNNNNNNNNNNNNNNNNNNNNNNNNNNNNNNNNNNNNNNNNNNNUUUUUUUUUAAAAUAUUUUUUUUUUUUAAAAAAAACCCAAAUUUAAAAAAAAAAAUUUUUUUAAUGGGAGUCUUUUUUUCUAGGGGGGGGUUUCCAUGUAAAAAAAAAUUUUUUUUAAAAAAAAAAAAUUUUCUAAAGGGGACUUGUUUUUUGAGGGGGGGGGUUUUAUGGGGAAAAAAUUUUUAUUUUUUUUUAAAAAUAUUUUUUGUUUAAAAAAAAUUUUUUUAAAGGGAACUUGUUUUUUCAAGACCCGGGUUUCCAUUGGAAAAACAAUUUUUUUUUUUUUAAAAAAAAAUCCCAAAUUAAAAAAAAAAAAAACAAUUUUUUUUUUAAAAAUAUAAUUUUUUUACAUGGGAACUCGUUUUUUGAAGGGAGGGGUUCCCAUGUAAAUUUUUUUUUUUUAAAUAUAUAUAUAUAUAUAAUAAUAAUAAUAAUUAAAAAAAAAAAAAAAAAAAAAAAAAAACAAUUCCUAAAGGGAACUCGUCUCUUCAAGAGACGAGUUCCCAUGUAAAAAAAAUUAUAUUUUAAAAAAAAUUUGUUUUUGUUUUUUUUUUUUUUUUUAAUUUGGGAUUUUUUUUUAAAAAAAAAAUAUUGUUUUUCCUGAAGAGACGAGUUCCCUUUAGGAAAUUUUUUUUUAAACAAAAAAUAUAUUUAAAAAAAAAUAAUAAUUUUUUUCCUCUCUUGAAGAGACGAGUUCCCUUUAGGAAUUUUUUUUUUUAAUAUAUAUAUUUUUAAAAAAAAUAUAUUUUUUUUUACAUGGGAACUCGUCUCUUCAAGAGACGAGUUCCCUUUAAGAAUUUUUUUUUUUUUUUUAAUUUGGGAUUUUUUUUAAAUAAAAAAUAUAUUUAAAAAAAAAAAAAAAUUCCCAAAGAGACGAGUUCCCUUUAGGAAAUUUUUUUUUAUUUAAUUUGGGAUUUUUUUUAAAUAAAAAAUAUAUUUAAAAAAAAAAAAAUUUUCCCUGGGAACUCGUCUUUCCCUUGUCUUUUUUCAUGGAACUCGUCUCUUAAAGAGACGAGUUCCCUUGAGUAAAUGGGAAUUUUUUUAAAAAAAUAUAUAUAUUUUUUUUCAUGGAACUCGUCUCUUCAAGAGACGAGUUCCCUUUUAUAAUAUCCUAUCACCCUAUCUCCUAUCCCCUCUCUCCUCUCUCCUCUCUNNNNNNNNNNNNNNNNNNNNNNNNNNNNNNNNNNNNNNNNNNNNNNNNNNNNNNNNNNNNNNNNNNNNNNNNNNNNNNNNNNNNNNNNNNNNNNNNNNNCUCUCCUCUCUCUCACCCUCUCUCCUCUCUCCUCUCUCACCCUCUCUCCUCUCUCCUCUCUCCUAUGUGGCAAAAACUACCAUAUAUUUGUAAUAACUUCUUCUACUACAAUAAUUUAAGCAUAACUUUUUUAAACUACUGUACUAUUGAGAAAAGUCCCAAAAACUUCGACAAGUAGAGGCAGUGGGGGGAAUGCCCUCUCACCAUUGAAUUGAACUCUUGUAUUUUUUUUCUCUGCGAGUCCACGUGGGUUUGUCCCCUCACUCGUCACAUUCACACCACAUAUAUAUGUAGCGGGCCGUAGAUUAGAAAAUUCAUAUUCCUUUUGCUAAUAGUCCAUGCAAAGUCAUCCUCAAUGAUCCAUGAGUGAACUAACGGAAUUUUUAGCAUUCAGAUAAAAAUAUCAAAGUGUAUUUUUUUGGUACUUAACGAAAAAUCAAGCAAAGAACGUCCAUCAUGCAACCUAAGUCUCAUUAUUUUAUGCAAUUCCUACUCGUUUGUAUCACAUAAAGAGUCUCACUACUUCGUAUUUUGAUUUCAUUUGUUUGUACAUUAAUCCCAUAUAUUUGCAUUUUUAUCUAAUAGUCGAGAUUUAAAGUUUGAUAAUUAUGAAUUAUGUACCUUAUCGUUUCUCAAAAUGUCUUCUCAACAUAAAUACAACAUUCCCACAACAUGAAAUAACUUGAUGUCUCCCGAAUUUGAAAUGUUGAAAGCUAUUGAAGUUCCUAUAACUAAAACCAAUCACACAUGAGAGACACCCCUUCAAAGUUGAAAAACUAUGAGCUAGCCUUUAAUCAAGCACCCAUUGUAGUUUUUCAUCUACCAUGCAACUUGUUGCAAGGGUGGCCUCAAACUUUUGAGAGACGAAGGGGUAUGAUUUUUCAUAACAUAAAAAUAAUGGGAAUUCUCUCUAGAAAAACCAUAGCAAAUAGUAGUAAAAAACUCAAUGAUCAACAAGUUGGUUGUGUAAUAUGAAAAUCAAGAACCCUAGUGGCUUGUACCAUAUACAAUCCAAUUAGGUAGAGUCUUAAGCAAUUUGAAAAGAAUAAAAGCCAGUAAAGAAGUCAUGAUUCUUAAUCAUUAAAUGUGUAAUCAGAAAAUAAUUAAAGUCAAUAAAUCAAUCAUGAAAAUAUUCUACUACACUUGAGAUUGGUGGGAGUAGUGUGGGACUUUGGAGUUGAAGCAGCCUAUGGCAUGGGUGCUUUUUGGCACUCCUUGCGGCUGAGUUGGCCGGUCGAUUGACCAAGGAAGGUCCAUGGGUUUGUCAAUGAAGCGGCACAUGCCUCCACACUCAGCCCUGCCCGCUCACGCAGGUUGAUUAAUUGCCUCAUGAAAUUUGUACUCGUAUUUUCCCUAUUUGUGAACUCCUUUAGUCACAUUUGUUUGGGAAAGUAGGAAGAAAAACAAGUGUUAAGAAAAAUUAUUUUUUCAUUUGAUUGUAGGCUUGCAUUAUAAAAAAAUAUAAGAGAAAAUGAAAUAUAAUUAAAAUUAAAUAGAAAUCUAUGUAUUUUACAUUUAUUUAAUUUUUUAUUAAAAAAUUAAAAUAAAUGAAAUAAGUUUGAAAUAAUAUAUAAAAAUAAUUUAUUAAUUUUAAAUAUAUAUUUUUAUUUUCUUUCAAUUUUUCUUCUUUUCUACUUUUCUAUUCUAUUUUUUUUUCUUAUAUUUUCCUCAAAUUUUUGGAGCAAAAUAUACCUUCAAUGUAAUCCAACAAUCCAUUUUUACAUGACUUUUAAUGUACAAAAACUAAAAGGGAAAAAAAAAACCUUAUCCAAAACUAACCUCACAAGGCGUAAGUUGAAGUUAAAGCAAUAGGUGAAACUACCCAACUAAAAUACAAUAGUGAAGGAGCUUGGCCCAAUUGGAGGUGGCCUGAUUAAGCCAAGUGUCAGACAUGUUCCAUCCAAAGAUGAAAAGUCGCCAUAUAUGAUGAUGAAAAAUUGCGAUAUAUUGAUGAUAUUUCUUCGAAAUAUUAGAUUUCAAUCGUCAUCAAAAUGAAAUUUCAUGGAGAAAUAUCAAUAUCAUGACUUUUUAGUUAUUUUUUAGAUUCUUUCACAUGGAACCUUCCAUGUGUGUAUAUAUAUAUAUAUUAUAAAUUUGUCCUAAAAACAAAAUAUUUAAAAAAUAUUUUAUUAAAUAAAUUAAUUCUAAUUAUUUUAUUUUAAAAUUUGAUUUAGUUUAUUACAAAAAAUAUAUAAGCAUAAUUUUCUUAAUAGGUUUUUUUUAUAUAUAUAUAAUUUAUAUAUUUAUUAAAUAUAAAAUAAAAAUAAAAAUAUUAAAAAAAUUAUAUAUACAUAUCAUCAUUUAUUUUAUAUUAUUGAAUACAUUUGAAUUAAAAUGGGUUAUAAUUUUCAUAGUAAAUAUAUCUUAAAAUUAGACAUAUUAUCACAAUAUCAUCGUAAAAAAAUAUAUAUAAUGCAACUUAAUAAUGAAUGUUCACUUAUAAAAUUUAUAUUUUUUUUACCAACAUAGAGGAUAUUAUUAAAAAAAAUCAAAAUGGUUAUUAUUACUUCUUAUAUAUAUAUUAGAAUUUUUCAUAAUAUUUUUAUAAGUUUUUAUUAAUUUUUACAAUACUGAUAUUUUGUUCCUAAUAUAUCCAUAAAAUUGAAUUACCGAUAUAUCCAUCAAAACCAAUAUUUUCAUAAUUGGUUCCAUUAGCGUCAGUCAUUUCUAUUAUGUAUCCAUUGAAUAUUGCAUAGAUAGUCUUGAUCAACCAAUACUAGUUAAAUCAUGGUUACCUCUUGUUAGUCUAUGGUCAACAAAACAAAGAAUUAAGAUUUAAUAUCUCACUCAUGUGUAUGUAGGUGUUAAGCAUGAAAAUAUAAAUCAAUUAAAAUUAAAGAUGAUUUUAAGCUGGUACGAAGGAAGAACUUGUUUUAGUUUAAGUAUUUUCUUAUAUACAUUCUCUAAUUGUUUUCAAAAUAAAUCAAGAAGUCGAUACAUGCAUUUGUGAAUUGUUUGGGAACCUCAAAAAGUCAUUUUGUGAAAGAUAGUAACUUGGUUAGUUGAUUGGUUGCCAAUAUUGGCAUCUUCAUGAUUUGUUCCUAUGACAAUGACUAGCAAAUGCAGGUUUAGAAGAUUAAUUUUUCAAUUGAGCAAUUAACUAAUCAACCUAUUUUACACUGUAAAAUUUUCAUGUAAGAAACAUUUAUUGUUAAUGGCUAGUUAGGAACUAGAUGAUUGAUCUGUCAAGCAAAUUGCUAUAUAACGGCUAGUUUAUGGUCAUUAUAUAUAUAUAUAUAUAUAUAAAAGGCUCUUAAAUUUCAUAUUUGACCUCUCAACUACCUAAAUAUUAGUGGUGAUCUAUUUUCAUGAGCUUUUAAUCCUCUUAAAUGCAAUUGUUGCCAAACUUGCAUACAAUAGUAGUUGCACCAUUGUGGACCCUCGCCCGAUCCACCGAUCGGUGUAACUCGCUAUUCUAAGGGUGAAAGAGAAAGCUGGUUUUCGAGUUUUGAAAAAUUCGUCCCAAUGAGGAACGGUUUUGUUUGGAGUCGCCACUUACUUUUUAUUUUUAUUUUUAAAUGGGGAAAAUUUAAGUAAGAACAAAAGCCCCAGCAUGACUUCAGUAAGGAAAAAGCGGUCUCCGAAAACUAGAUUCUGGGUCCGAGGAUCAGGUUACCUAUCGGGAAGGUACCUCAUACGAGGUAGCACCCCUUUAGGCCUGGAACUCAGUCUCUACUAAUGAACUGGGUAUAUGGGAGCAUAUGGGUCAAAGAUCAAACAAACCUUGGGCUAAACAAAUGACAUGAAUCACAUAGACCCGCCUAGUAUUUAGCAUGCACAUACACUUAAUAAGUUAAAAUCAGAGUGCAUACCUGAGGUCCCCAGCCAAGCGUUGCAUAAGAGGUCAAUCAAUAAGCUUAAAUGCAGAAUAAAUAUACAUAGCAAUCAUGCACCAAACAUUCAUGUGAAUUUCAUUAUCCAAAGCCAAAGUGCAUACCUAUGGUCCCCAGCCAUGCGCUACAAGGAAAAGGUGAGGCAAGUAAUACAGGCAAUAAAACAUUAAAUAUUCCGAAAUAACUAGAAGGAGGAAUUGAACUUAAGCAAGAAUUCUGAGAGUAAUUAGAAACGUACCCUAAAAGAACCAGCUUUUGAGAGCUGUUUUUCAGCUUCAAGUAAGAUUGAUUCUCCUUCUGCAAAAUCCACUCAAGACCGAUGAUCAUGAUCUCUUUUUCUUCUUUCCAAAGCAAACAAAAAUUCAUUUUUUUUUCUCAAGAUCCUUCAUUUUUCCUGUUCUCUCUGUUUUUCUUUAAAAACCUUUCCCUCUUCUCUCUCUUAGACCUUCGUUUUUCAUUUUCUCUAGGUGCCAAACCCUCAGAGACCCCUAGACUCUUCCCUCACGCUUUCAGUUUCCCUUUCUACAAAGUCUCUACCCCAGAUUUCUCAAAAAACCCCAUCUUUUCCUCUCCAAACGUCUCCUCUUUUCCUUCCCUCUCAAACUUCCCUCCUCAACAUUCGCACCACCCCAUUUUCUUUCCCCUUCAGCUCUGGAAAUCCCCACCUUCAGCCUCGAAACCCCAACUCAUUUAGCUCCCAUCUUCCCGAGGUGGGCAACUGCCCCUCAUUACUUCAUAAUUCCUUGCCCGCCAAGAAUCCACAUGAGUUCAAGGUGGGUUGCAAUCAGCCCGAAAAAUGACCCAAAUCGAACAUAAAACCAUCCUCCUAACCCAUCUGGAGCACCAGGGCUCGAACCAGCCUGAACAAGGGCACCAAAAAUGCCAAAAAUAGAGCCGUUAGCAAGCAGUCCCGAUAAACUGGUCGACCAGUUGCCAACCGGUUGACCGCCUAAAAAAAAACUUGACGAACUAGUUGAACCGGUUGACCAUCCGGUCGACCAGUUGAGAAAAAAUCUCAAAUUUUGUUACAAUAUUCCUUAAAGAAUAAGGAAUCCAAAAAAAAAAACGGUGUGCGAUUCCGAGUUCGAAAGAGGGAGAUAUGAUCGAAACAAGCCCAAGUGCUCCGUAUUCGAACCUGCUCCUAUGAACUCCAACUGAAUUGAAGUUUUGGGGAGACCUCACUUCCUUCCUUUAGCAUGAUGUGAGCAACUAGGGAAUUGACCAUGACGACACUCCAAAAUGAACUACACACUCGCACUACAUUGGACCGCAGAUGAACCUACACAAGGCUCGAAAACCGAUCAAGCCCAAGAGAAGGGUUAUAGCGGUGCCAAACGGAAAAAAUUGGGUGCAUGUGACACCCCUAAGAUAAAUGCAAGUGUCGAUGGACAAAAUUGAGGGUCUACAAAUACGCCCCUCUUAAGUAGAAUGAAUGAACGAGUGAAACGCAAGUGCAAAGUGCAAACAAUGAAUGAGUGAAAUGAACUCUAGUGAAGAAUUCAAAUGACCAACAAUUUUGUCCCCACAUAACAAUAAAGAAGGCUAAGGGAAAUGAGUCAUGCUGACCGAAUGGACUAGGGGAUCCAGGCACAAUGCCGGAGAAAGCUAAAGGAAUCUAGACACGAUGCCAGAGAAGACUAAAGGAAACCGGACGCAAUGCUGGAAAAGAUCAAGAGAUCUAGACAUAAUGCCGGAGUAGACUAAAGGAAAAGGGAUCAAGUCCGGGCGAGUACUAGAGAACCCAAGGAAAUCCGGGCACAAUGCCGGAGAAGAGAUCGUAUCUGGGCGAGUACCUAAAAAGGGGUAGAAUCCGGGUGAGUAUCGGAAAAGUGUCCAGGCGACUAUGAGGAAAGGGUCUGGGCGAGUACCGAAAAAUGGUCGAAUCCGGGUGAGUACCAGAAAAUGGGUAAAAUCAAGGUGAGUAUUGAAAAAAGGGUAGAAUCCGGGUGAGUACCGGAAAAGGGUCCGGGCGAGUACCGGAAAAGGGUCUGAGCGAGUACCGGAAAAGAGUCCGGGCGAGUACCGAAAAAGGGUCUGGGUGAGUACUAGGAAAAGAGUAGAAUCCAGAUGAGUACCGGAAAACCCAAAAAAACUAGCCAAGCACANNNNNNNNNNNNNNNNNNNNNNNNNNNNNNNNNNNNNNNNNNNNNNNNNNNNNNNNNNNNNNNNNNNNNNNNNNNNNNNNNNNNNNNNNNNNNNNNNNNNGUGUAUGCCCCAGUAUAAACAUGAGAACACCACUAAAAGAUUCAAAUAAGCAAGAAAUCAAACAUCUCAAUCACGAAAGAUGAAAGGGUAUGCCUCAGGGUGACGUCUAGAAAAUGCCAAGAAAUGACAAGCGAAAAAACAAGAACACCACUAACAAAAUGGAAAAAAAGGGGGUAUGCCCCUGUAGGAUAACUCAGAAAUGUGACUAGAGGUGAAAAGAAAGGGUUAUGCAUCAGUCUAAGAUAUCCAUACCAUGUCAGAAUCCCAUAACCGUACAUAUGGUCAAAAUCAGAGAGUUGAAAACAUCACAAACAUUCAUCCUAUAACAACAUCGACUUUAUUCCGCAACAUCCAAUAUCCACAAAAAAACUGAUAGGGGGUAUGCCCCAGUGUGCACAUAUGAUAUGCAAGUGCCUCGGUAAAAAAAAAAACUCUGACAUAUAUCACUGAAGACCUAAUCGUCUGGAUAAGCAAAUAUGACAAAGUAUGGGGUAUGCCCCAGUGUGCACACCCACUGGGUCGACGAAUACGCAUGAAUCUUAUCCCGGGCCAUUUCUCAAAAGCAAGCUGCUAUAUGAAGAAACCAAGCUGAAUGUGGGGGCCUACUCAAACAUUGAUGCCAAGUGUCGCUUGGUGAAAUAGGUUGCCUACGUCCUAGUGUAAGAACUGAUGCCAGCAUGUAAGGAUAGGGGUAUGCCCUAGUAUGAAUAUAACAAACCAGCAAACGGAGGAGGUCUUGGACAGUCUCAACUCUCUACAUUAUCUGUCUCUGAUCUUGGACCAAAAGCGAAGAAACGAAACGGAAAAGCAGUAUGCGAUCCUCGAUAUCCCUCAAGAAAUGGAGUCCUGUCGGCAUCUUGUACUUCAAUCAGUAGACGGAGCUUGUCCGAAUGAAAUGCGUCGAAGCAAACACGAGAUCUCAUGGUCUCAGGGUGAUCUUACUACUCAGACCGUAAUGAAGGCUAGAGGUAAAAGG